CCAUUAGGGCAAGCAAAAAUGCCGCAACAAAGCAUCAACAUUGGAAAAACUUUGUUGCCAAAAUGUCAAAUAAAUAGCUCCCUUCUCAGAGUUAAGUGCUACUUACAUCACAAAGUGCCCAACUAUUUGAUUUACCUCAUAAAUUGUGCAAGAAGAUGCGGGUUGACUAGUUACGCCGCCCAGAGUGGCUAUUUCUCUGUCAUUACCACUGGCGGCAGCGGCAAGCCAAAGAAGUUCUUGGUAGAACUAACCUUUCUUUCAAAUCCACCUUUCGUCAGGUUACUCGAAGCAGCCGAGAGAGUUUGGAUUUCAGCAGAAAGGUGUCUUGGCUAUACCUUGCGAAGCAAGUGAGCUGCAACAAAUAUUAUCACAAGUAUGAAGGAAAAUUCAACGCAACAAAUUGCUAUCUGUAUAUACAUUCUUGUAUUGCCCCCACAAGUUGCAAAUUAUCAGGGCACUGAAAAUUUAGUACCCUUAAUUUAAUCAGCUCAAUGAUCUGAUAUUAUUGUAAUGGUAUACUCGAUGCAUAACAAUCAAUCUAUUAGUCGCAAGUACAACAAUAUCAAAUACAGCUAAAGAAAAAUGAUUCUACUGCAAAUCAACGAAGAAUAACUAAAUGAAGCUCCCAUAUCAAAUUGCAUAGCAUCUGAAUAAAUCCGUGGCACACUGGCCCUAUCGUUGAAUCUAAAAUCAUCACCAAUCUGGUAAACUGCAUCUGCUAAACAACAUUAACAAGUUUACACAAAAACUUCAAUUUCAUUCAUUAAAAAAUCAAUGGGGAUGACGAAAAAAAAAAAGACCUGAAACAUCUCGAAAAAAAUGCCUUAAAACUGGGUCCGUACCUAAAUGGAUUAGCAUCACAUUCACAACACUACAGUAUGGUUUUAGCAAUUGACUAAACCUAAUCAACAUCUAUUUCCUGAAAAUCAGUCAUUCAUAUGUCACUCAAGGUAUUACAAAUUUACAUCUGAGGAAGCUCGUGCUGGUUUUCCAAAGAUUGCCGUAGUAUAAACUCCACUCUCCUCUUCUUGUCGUCUUUCUCAUCCUCCCGCCCAAACCAUGCUGCUGUUUUACCAUAGGCCUUGUUCCGAAUCCUCAAAUCCAACGGUUCACCAAAUACCUUUUUACCCCGCCUGAAAUCCAAAAAUACAGAAUCCCUUUUCUCCGGAAGAAUCUUUUCCCCAUCACUUCCAGAAUCGAGCCCAUCCUUCAUAGCUUCAAUGGCUGGAGCAAACGUCUCCAACAAAGAUACAUGCUUUUCAGUGUGUUUCUUACCAGAAAGCCUUGCUGGCAGAUUAACCUGGGACACGACUCUCUCACCAGCUUGUAAGGGAUUAGCCAGAAACGGGUUCUCCGUUUUCAACUCGUUUCCAUUCUCAUAUGGUUCAGCAGAAGUUGUAGCCACUGAUGAACCAUUACACACUAGCCUUUGCUGCAAACUUAAUAAAGACCUUUCUGCCUUCCUAUUCUGCCUCGCUAGCUCAAUCUUAUCCGCACGAGCAUCAGAAACCCUCUCAUUCCAAACGGGUGUUCUUAUAUACGUGUGAGGAUCUGGAAAUGCAGGCAACCAUGGUGGUAUGUGCUUAGAGACCGGUGUCUCGCCCAUUUGCGAGAAACUAGGUAUCAUCCUAUGUUCCCUAAUCACGGGAAAUCGAGGCACUGGUUGAGCAAAUGGUAUCUCAUCAGCCGUCUCAACGUACUCCUUAAUCUCUCUUAUAGCACCCGAACUCACUAUACAGUCGGUAUGAAUCUUCGAAGCACCUGAAAACCCUUGUGGCAUGCCCAAGUCUUCUAACCCUUGAACAAUGUCAAACACAUUGCACUCAGUCCUACCAGCUACAUUUGCAUAAUAUUUUGAGGUUUUACCCACAUCGCAGAGGUACCUAAUCGCAAUGUCAGCGAGCGAAUCAAGAGCCGACUCGUUGAAUCCCUCGAACCCAACGCUCUCGCAUAAUUGAGACACUGCAAUUCUCGAAAUUGAUCGGCCGUAAUUAUUAGCACCGGAGCGAAUAAAUGGUUUAUUGUGUUCAUAUCUCUUACCUUCAGCUUCACCUCCAUCGCUCAUGUUCAGAUUCAAGAAUCAUUUAGGGCUUCUACGCUUCACAAAUCCUAAUAACAUUCAAAUUACGAAUUCCGAAAACCGCCACCAUAAAAAUCACAAAAUCAAUGAAUCAUUUAAAACACCACUGUAUGAUUCCAGAAAAGAAAAAAACCCUAGAAAACCAGCUGAAAUUGAAAUGGAUGGAGAUAAAACCCUAGAGAGAGAGAGAGAAAAAAAAUCACCACCCUAGGGUUUCCACUGUGAAGAAAACAAUUUUGGGGGGAAACGAAAUUGGGGGUUUAUGGAUUUAACGGUAGAAUGAUAAACCCUAAGCGACUGAAAUGGAAAUAUGGAUCGGAAAAGAGUGAAAUCAAAUGGAGAGAGAGAAAAGUCAAAAACUAAGAGCUGAAACUGAUAUAUUUAUAGCCGGAUCGAGAUUCCGAGGACCCUUUUGUAAAUUAUUAUAAAUAACUAACCCGAGUUUACAAAUAUAAUAGCGAAAAUUACCAACAAGUCCUAAUGAAAAACUCUUAUCACCAACAGGUCCCCAAACUUAUAUUUAUAUCUAAAAAGUCCCAAAAUCAAAAUGAAAAAUUUGGGAUGAUCCUAUCCAAAAUACAGUAGAACCAAAUCCAAAUGGCUUUUCCUCUGCAAUUGCACUCAUCGUCUCUACCAAUCCGGCACGAAACUCGUCUGUGUUUCUUACCAAAUCCGAUAAAAGCAUCGUUGUCGGAAAACACACCGCAAUUCCGGAAGCUGUUGCCUCAACUGGUUACUUCUGUUCCGGCCAAGUCUCUCAAUUUCUUCCUCUCCGGCACCCUCGCUCUUGCUUUCUCCUUCACCGGUCAGUUUUAUUCUCGUGGUUGUUCUGAGAUUAAUUAAUUAAUUAGUUAAUUAAUUGUGGGUAAUAAUAAAGUGUAGGAGUGGGAUUUGCCGAGGGAUUAGUUGGUGUGAAUAAGCCAGAAUUGCUACCCAAACAGUUCACUACUGUAAUUGAUGUUGCUGGAUUCCUCUCCGAUGGCCAGGUUUUGUUCUGCCUCAAUUUUGUCGAAAACCGAAGCAUAAUCGAAACUGUCGAGUUUAUUCUAAAAUCGAAUUAUUUUGCUCACGGUUGCUGAUAUUUUGCAGAGUUUGUUAUGAUUGAUAACACCAUCGAGUUUUACGUGUAAAAUUAACGCAAGUUCGUAAUAUCACCGUAUAAUGUUUGAAACUGGAUCGAACAGGAAAGAAGAAUUGCUCAGGAAAUCGAUGCCCUGGAAAAAGAUACCGGAUAUAAGUUGAGACUUCUGGCCCAGAAUUAUCCCGAUACACCUGGUAUAAACCGCCUUUGCUAAUUAGCUAUCCGUUUUUCUUUUGACAGUAAUAAGAAUGUAAUAAGAUUCAAUCUGAUGUAGGCUUAGCAAUCAAAGAUUUCUGGAAAGUCGAUGACAACACGAUUGUAUUUGUUGCUGAUCCCACAUUCGGUACUAUUCGAUCUGCAACGAAAUAUUCCAUCUCUUCUUCAACUUGCUAGAUUUUUGUUUUUUUUAACUUGUAUGUAUAUAUCGCGUAUAAUUAGGAAAUAUAUUGAACUUCAACGUUGGGGCGUCGGUGGAUCUGGACAUACCACGUAGCUUUUGGAGCCGAUUAGCUGGGAAAUAUGGAAACAUAUUUUACUGGAAAGAAAAGGUUAAUAAACUUGUCGAUUAAAUACUUGUUUAAUUCUACGGCAAUUAUACUCAUAAGAUUAUUCUACCGAGCAGGGAGAAGAUGCAUCUGUAGAAGCUGCUGUGAUGGCCAUAUCGACUUGCUUAAGAGAACCGGUCAGUGCAAAUAAUUGCUCAGAGGUAAAAUGAAAUUCUCCGUACUGAAUAAUUCGGUUCUUUCAUCUGUUGUAAGAAAAGAAAAAUAAAAGGAGAUUGUACUACGGUAUAUUAUAGAGGCGUGAUAUCGAUUAUCGAGGCUUGUAUUCGAAGUGCAAAACUACUUUAGGUCACUUGACUGUUGCCCAACUAUAUGACUUUAGUUUGCACUCAAUGCGUAAUUGAAACAUAAAACCGAGUAGUUUCAAAUUACAUAGGACGAUGUAGUAACAAUACAUCCAGCUGACUCAGAAGCAGAACUUUACGAAGAAUUACAAGAACAUAACCACAGCAGCAAUUACCAAUACAAAUAGGUAAAUUGUAGGUAGGUAUAAAUCAAAUAGCUAUAGCUAAGGGGGAUGCUAGAUUUAAGAAUAAAGAUGCGGUACCUUACCUUAAUAUCAAACAUACACGGGCAUGCAGAAAACAAGAUUUGUCAUUUUUUGCUUUCGAGAACAGAUUUAAGGUCACUGUAUCUGCAUGGAAUUGCAAGAAUACCCGUUUGUUUAAAACCGAAUUCUUGCUCGGCUUGAUCCAACAGCUUGAGAAAACCCGGGUGAGCUAGAUAACUCAGUUCCACAAUAGACCUCCUCGACUCACCGUUUUCAGCUGUAUGCACCACGAAAUGCCCCUUCUUCACAUCUUCCGGAAGAUUACUAUCCGGAACUGAAUUCUCAUCAUCUUCAAAAUCAAGAUCCAUUGCAGGGUUAUGAGAAUAGUAUGUAAUAAACGAAGAGAGGACUUUUCGGAGCAUGUUGUUGACGAGUUUAAGGAUAACUAAACCUCCACUCAUCCUUAAAGUUCCAAACAUCGAGCGUACGAAAAAAAGGACGGAACUUUAUAAACCGGAUUUGGGAGGGAACAAAAGAUCCGGUCUUGACAGAAUGUACAGUGUGAUAUAUAUCACUUUCAGCUCCCUUUUCAAAGUUUACGAGUAGUAAAGGACUGAAACCAAACGUGAAUAGGACUUGACGGUGUGAGAUGGCUAUAAGAAGUAAGAGAGGAAGGAUAAGGUAUGAACAUGUCUGAAAACAAAUGGUAAGUUAGAGAGGGUUCUCAUGCAGCAUGUGCAAUAUGUGUGGGGGACCAUAAUUUAUGUUUUAAUGUUUCCAUCCUGUCUACUGUUUGGUGCAGUGGAGAGAUAUUCUAUUAUGGUUAGUGAUACUAAAUGUUGUAACAUGAUUGUGUUCUUCGCUUUUAGGGUGAAAGUCGAAAACUGUAGCUACUGAGGGAAUAGGGUAAUUCUAGGUAGGUAUCGAAUAAUUCAGACACCGUCAUUAGGUUGGUUCAUGAAAUAACAUUGAAGAAAAAUAUAGAGCCGAACGCAAGAACCAUAAACUGAUUAGAUCGAUAUCGUUGUAUAAAUACACGGGCAAAAAUCUAUUCUUCGUUUACACACACCCAAAUGGAUGUGUGUGCUUUCGUAUUUCGAUGAAAUGCUAUCUAGGCAGUAUGUUUUUUGUGUGUAGAACAAUGAAAGGUAUUAUACUCGUUCUUUAGGCCGAGAGAAGGCGUAGCUCGACACCUUUUCCAAAGUUUCCGUUCCAUUAGUCGUAUUAUUUCAUCAUGCUUUAUAUUGCUUUCUUAAAAUUACAAGUCGAAAAUCCAAUUAAACUAAAUCAUCUUUUAGCUGAAACAGAUUCUUCCCGGGCUUCAAUCAAGAUUAGAAAAAAAUACCGGUGAAUUUCACCGGGUAGGAUUCCUCGUGUAUAGAUAACUCCCUAUUUUACACACCCGCGUGUACGCGAGCGUAAUUACGUUAGUUUUGCGGUGCAAAAAACUACCCGGUAUAUAUAUUUACAAGAGGUCUGUGUAAUAACUACAUCUUAAUUUACAAGUACUUCACAAGUACUCUCCAUGUGUACCCUUUGAUAUUAGGACAGAGUACUUAUCAGAUGACAGGCUGGAAAAACCAAGAAAAAACUCAAACCUUGGCAAAAUGAAAAUCUACCAUUCAUAUUCAAUUAUUGAUCAUCCUCAUACAGAACACACGAAAAGAUUGAAUUUUUAUUCAAAGAGUUGGCUUACGCUCGAACGAGGUGCCAGGAUCGUCUGUGGAGGGGAACACCAGAAAACAGGUGACCAUAGCGUGAGGCGGGCCCCGCGUGCAACGCUGCUCCAUCUCUUCAACCUUUUCGGGCUUGCCCGAAAACAGAGCCUCCACAGAGCCGUCUCUGCGGUUUCGAACCCAACCUUUUAACCCUAAUUCGAUUGCAUUUUCGAUUGUCCAGUUUCUGUAGAACACUCCCUGCACCCUCCCCUUCACCACCACCCUCACCUGCAAUGCAAUCGGAAAGCAAAAUUAAAUUAUCUAGUUAUGAGGGAAAAUUAAUAAUAAUAAAAAAAAAAAAAAAGUGGAUGAAAGGGGUUUCAGACAGUUUUAGCGGCGGGGGAAUUGUGGUCGGAGUUCAAGGAGGACAUAGGAGAGCAAAGAGGGAGUAAACGGCGUCGGAGCAGAGGAGGAAGAGGAGUAGCAGGGAGAUGAAAACAACGGCGAAUCGGAAGAGAAUGAGAAGGAAGAGGAAGACGAUGAGGAAGUAGAAGAAGAUUAAGCUGGGGGAAUUGUCUACAGACAUUGUUUACUGGCUGCGGCCAUAGAAGUAGCUCGAGGGAAUUCUGUUGGGUUGAAAUGGCCGCCAUUUUUGUUUAAUUGACCAUUCUGAUUUUUGGAUUUGGGGGAAUAUUGGGAGAAGAAAGAGGAAGCUUCUGGACCGUUCAUUGGGCGAAAUCCACGAAUCUUCGGCCGGCCCAAAAGGAGGUUCUUUGGAGAUGGAGAUGGCAAUACAAUACAGAAGCUUCCAAAAUUAAUUUAAAAGAUAAAAUAAUUUCUGUGUAAUAUAUUAUAAUCUUGAAUUCUAAUGGGCUAAUAAGGCCCAUAUUUUGAUCAUGGGCCUUAUGAAAAUAUGGAAUUGUUUAAAGCCCAAUUAAUUCUCACUAUCGAUAGUCGGAUGGAUCAAUAAUCGACUCAUGAACCGACUCAAUAAAUGCUUGAACUCGAAAUAUUUAUGGGUCAGACCCGACAAACAUCGAACAAAGUUUGAUUAUUUAGUUAAUCUACCCAAACAAACAAUGCAUAUAUAGAUAGUACUACUAUUUUUCAAAAAAAAAAAUUAUAAAUAAAUUGCUAAUGAGCAUUGACUCGAUCUAUUGACCUAUUCCCACAACAUAGUGCCAAGUGUAUACUGCGUGGAGUGGGCCAAUAAAAUGAAUUUAGUAUUUUUAAUUAUUUUAAAAAGUUGUUUUCACUCCAUGGAAACUGUUUUUCACGUAUUGAACUAGUUAACCUCAAAAUAUUUCCGACCUCAACAAUUAUUAUUUCGGAGAAUUCAUAAUAUUGUCUUUAUAAGACACCAAAAGUCAUAUAUUUGGACCAAAUUGUGCAAGCACUAAAAUUGCGUCUUUUUCACUCUCAUGCAGAGUGACAUGCAACUUUUUUUUUUUUUUUUGUAUUGCUUCAAUUAAUAAUUGAUUCAUAUAAAUUGCAAGUUGGCCUUCUCAAAUUGCAAUGUGUAAAAUUGAUUGAGACUUAACACUAACUGAUAUUAUAGACGCAUUCAAAAAAUAACGUCAUCAUGCAUGUUUGUUUGUUUUUUAGUGGAUACAUAUAAUCUUUUUUUACUCGCUAACAGUCUAAUCAUAUUGAGAGGAUGAGAGAGAAACUUUUGAAACUGCUGUGGAGAUUAUUUUUGAAAAAUUAAACAAGCACGAAGUUAUUUUCGAGAAUGAAUAAAAAUGGAUGAAAUGGAAACGAAAACAAACAUUCUGCAACGGUAUAAUUUGCACAUAUUUAUUUAAUGAACACAUAUUAUUAAUUCAAUAAAAGGUAUACUAUGCAAAGAUGAAAUAGAACUUGAAGUCCUAACUAUUUUGUCCCAUUUGUAAUUUUAUUUUUUAGGUGAUUGAAAACAAAUUAAAAGAGUAAUGGAUUGAAUUGUUGCUUGUAAGAAAAACAAUUUGCUUAUAGAGUUUGAGUUCUAAAAACAUUAGAAUUCUAAUUCUAAAAUAACACUUGUAUAUUUUUGGCGUUGUGUUGAAAUAUGCUGCAAAUUACAGUUUUGUCCCUUUGUAUAUAAUUAUAGAAACUAACCCUAAAUAUUAGGCCAGACGAUAAACACAACGAGAAAAGGAUAAAUAUAUCAGUUGAAUCCGAUUCUGAUUACUUGUUUUUAUUUGAACUUUUAUUUUCCACCCUACUUAAUAUUAAUAUAUUAUAUUAACCAUUAGUGGAUAAUAAACACUAAAAGCCAAAAAAAUAAAAUAAAAUGAAACAUUAUCUGGACCAAAUAAAAGUGCAUGGUGACGAGUGUAAGAAAUUCAAGACCUAAUUAUAUAUGUAACGACAUUGGAUAUUUUUUUAUUUUGUUUGUAUUAAGACAUAAACAAAGAAUUCCACCACACCAUGAUUUUGAUUUUUUUGUACGAUCACAAUAUUAAAAAUAAAAUGCAUCAAUCACACUGCAGCGAAAAAAAAAAUUGAUAUCAAUUGGUAUAAAUUAUUGGCAAAAUAAUGACAUAUUUAUUGAGCUAAAUUAUUUGAAAUUUUCAUCCAAAAUUAAAUUUAGUCGAGGCGUACAGCAGUAGUAGAACCUAACUUGAGCACCAUGCAUGCAGUGAUAAUAUAUUAAUUAAAUUAGGACUAAUGAAAAUAAUUAAUAUGUGAAUAAUGGUAUGCAUCCACCUUCUGCCAUAUAUAGACAAUAUUAAAAAUAAAAAAUAAAAAAGUGGCCUUUCACCUUUGCACAAUUAUUUGUUCAUGCCUCUGACUCAGCUCUGACUAUGACAUACAUACAAUAUAUAUAUAUACACAAUAUAUAUGUGCAUGCAUCAUCUACUGUACAUGACACAUUCCAUUCCUCUAUCCAUGCAAAUUAUAUGUUUUAAUUAUUAUUUAUAUAUAUACAAAUAAAAAAAAAGGUUUUAUUAAUAGGAGUAAUUAUCUCUGCAAUUAAUAUGAUUUCAUAUUUAGAGUUUAGUGUUCACUAUAUUAAUAAUCGAAUUAACAAUGGUGUGUUCUUUUAUUGCGAUGAAAAGUCACUCAUUUUUUUCUAGAAGAAAUAAAUCUAGGGUUUGAUCAUGUGUCAUUCAUCAGCUAUUAAACGUUCUUAAAGGUCAUUAUUAAGUACUAAUUGUUUUCUAGAUCAUUAAUUAAGAGAAGACAAAAGUAAUUAAUUAAGUAAUCAAUAUAAAUUAUAGUUGAAGAAUUCAGUUUAUUUGUGAAGACGCUUAACGCAUUACUAUUAAUCCAGACUGUGUGUGUAUGACAAAAUCUCACAAAGCAAUUAAGAAGAUACUGGAAGUUUCUAUACAUUAAUCCAGACUGUAUAUAUGUUUACCAAAUCCUAAUUCGUCUAACAUUAAUCGCACGCACGAUUUUAUAAUGGGAAAUUUACAGUGUUCAUCCCUCAAGUUUGUAGUGAUUUCACAUCUGGUCAUCUAUGUUCACAAAAAACACAUUUGGUCCCUCAUGUUUCAGUAAUUUGACACUUUUGGUCAUUUCCGUCAAUUUACCAUUAGUCCGUUUUUUACUACAGUGAUGGGUACACGUUUGAUUCCAUUAGUUUUAAUGGAAAAUUGACGGAAAUGACUAAAAUUGUUGAAUUUUUGAAACACGAGGGACCAAAUGUGUUUUUUAUGAAUAUGGGGACCAAAAGUGAAAUCGGUGCAAAUUUAAUGGAUGAAAACUGUAUUUUUCUCAUUUUAUAAUUAAUUAACCCUGUUUAUUAUUAGUUAAAACUAGCUAUAGCCAAUUGUUUAGUCAAAUUGUACUAAUUGGUUCCGGAUUUGGAGGUGAAAAAAAUCAAAUGAUAUCAUUUUCUUAAUUAAUUACGAUUAAAUAAAUUACAUCAAUAAGACACAAUCUUAUUCAUAAGCAUCGAUCAAAACUAUAUAUAUGUAUAUAUAUAUAUAUAUAAUGUGAAAUAUUAAACUUUACAAUAUAAUUAAAAAAAUGGAACUCUAUAAUUUAAUUAAUAAUGGUUGAUUAGAUUUAUAAUCCACGUAGGUAGGUUUACAUGACAAAGCAUCCAUUAGGAUUUUCGUCGCUAAACAUAUGAUCGUUGGCGGUCAGCAAAGUAGGCGGUGGUAGUGGUGGAGGUCCAUGCUGACUGUACUGUGCCACGUAAGCCGCAUUUGAUGAGUAGCCUUGAUAACCAUAGUCAUGAUGAUCAUGGUACAUUGAUGGUACAUGAUGACCAUAGUCAUCUGCAUGAUGAUGAUUGCCAUACAUUGGCAUCACAGCAUAGUAAGUUUCCGGAAUGUAACUAUUAUUAUACUCCAUCUUAUUUACCUCAACCACCUUUGUACUUCCUUCGCCGCCGCUGCCGCCGCCCUUGUUUUUCUCUCCACCACCACCGGCCUCAGCCUUCUUCGGCUCAUCACCUUUUUCUUUGUCACCACCGCCGCCUUCUUUUUCUUUCUUCUCUCCACCACCACCGCCAGCACCACCACCUUCUUUUUCUUUCUUCUCUCCACCACCACCACCGCCGGCGCCUUCUUUUUCUUUUUUCUCUCCACCGCCGGCGCCGGCGCUCUCUUUGACCUUGUCGGCGCCGGCGUCUUCUUUCGUCUUCUCGCCACCAUUAUUAUCAACUUUCUUUGGCGGAGGAACAAUCUCCACUCCUCUCUUUAGCUUCUCCUUCAAAUAAGUUGUGAGCUCCUUGACAUCCAUUGUUCCAAUCACCGUCACUAAAUCCUUUUCUAAAUCCGUCGCUACUGAGUUAACACCUAUUAAUUCAUCAUCACUUCAUUAUUAAUUAAUUGCUUUUUAUUGACAAUAAUUACUUAAUUAAGCUAAGAGAUCCAAAUUCUUAUAAUUAGGUGCACGUAUAUAUAUUCUUAAUUAUAAGAUCAUAUAAGAAUAUUCUUUAAUUUAUUAUAUACACAACCUUAUCUCUUUAUAGCAAUAAACUAUUUUAAUUCGUCCACAUAUGUAUGCACUUAUCUAACAUAAAAUUAGGAGUAAUUAUUAAAUUAAUUUGGUAAUAACUCACCUUCAACAUUCUUUAAUAUAAUCCUCUUUAUCUUAUGUGCGCAUCCGUCACAGUGCAAUCUGAUUUUCAUCACCACAGUACUAACCACCGCCUGCCACCAAUAAAUUAAAAUUAAUAAAUAAAUAAAGCUAAAUCAAUUAAUUAAUUAGGCCAAAAAACAAUUAAAUUAAUAUAACUACGUACCUCUUUGGGUUUUUUAUUCUCAUCAUCACCAGCUUUCUUUUCCGGUUUAUCCUCAGCCUUCUUGUCACCACCUCCUCCGGCGGCGGGGGCGGCGGCGACACCAACUCCGGCGGGCUUCUUGGGCAGAGGGGAGAUGAGAUCCACCUUCUUCUUGGUCUUGGUCUCAAUCUUCUCACGGAGCCAAGUGGGGUCCACAUUCCCCGUGACGGUCAGUUUCUUAGCGUCACAGUCAGCCUUCACUUUCUCGACACCUAAUUAAUUAUUUCACAAAAUUGGGCCACACACCAAUAAUUCUUAGGCCCAUUAAGAUAAGGUUUUGCCCAUAUGCACCACCAUUAUUAAUUUGUACCAUUUUUAAUUAUUAUACAUUUUAUUUAUUAGAAAAUUAAAAACAAAAAUCUAAAUAAUAAUAAUGUUUGCCACCAAAUCAAGAAAACCCGGUUUGGUACUUUUCACCUACUACUGCCCCAUCAUUACCAUAAGUUUUAGAAAUAAGAAAUUUGAAAUUAGAAAUUAAUAAGCCAAUAUGAUUAAUUACUGACUAUGAUUUAUGAGUGAAAUUAAUAAAUGAAUUAUGAACAUAAAAAUUAAAUCUGAAUAAAUUACCUUCCAAUUGGGUAAUGAAGCGUCUGACUUUCUUAGCACAGCCUUCGCAAUGCAAGUCUACCUUCAACACCACCGUGACCGGCGGCGCCGGCCCAUCCUCUUUCAUUCCACCUCCGUCCGCCGCCGCCGCCACCUUUUCUCCUCCAUUCUUAGUCUCAUCUUUCUGAAUAUAUAAACAGAAAAUAAGAACAAUUGAGCAAAACUAAUCCAUUUUCAUCUGCAUUAAUUGUAAUUAGAGGAACUGAGGAAGAUUAAUUACCUCACCCAUUUGCUGUUUUAAUUAUUUUUUUUUUGCAAUUAUAUAUUUUUAAUAGGUGUGUGAGAUUAUUUGAAGAGAGAAAAUGGAGGCAAUUAAUGGCAGGAAUAUAUAGAGCUGGGCGGGGAUUUUGAUGAUGUCAUCACCUCGCCCCCAGCUAAUAAUAAUUGAUUAAAAUAAUAAUAAAAAAAGAUAAAAAUAGAGAGACAGAGUUCUGUACGUAUCUUGUGUGUAUGUGGUGGUUAUGCAUGUGUGAUGUUUUAUGUAUGGGAUGUGAAUUAAAUGGCAUGCAUGAUUGAUGGGGCCCAUGGGAAUUGUUAUUACACUAUAAUAUAUUAAUAUUAAUUUUGAUUAAUUCCUAAAAUUGUUACUUGCUAAUUACAACUAACAAAUUAAACCUCCCAAAGCAGGUUUUUUUUUUUUUUUUUUUUUUUAAAUAAUUUCGCAAUUAUUAAAUGAAGGUUUUAUUAUUACAAAAUUAUUUGUGUUUGAUUGAUGUAACAAAUACAUGUGGUUAAAUAGUGUUUAAUCGUCAAUGUGACAAUCAAUUGAACUUUAGAAGAUGAAAAAAGUAAGCUACAUUCCUUAGACAAAUUGUUGGUGGCGAAACAGAGCUGACUAGGAUUCAAUGUACUAGUUUAAAACUUUGACAAAACUAUAAAGUUUGGAAUUAAAUUAAAUUAAUUUAAAUUAAAGCAUUCAUUUAUCAACCACUUUAAUAUUUUUUUUCGAUUCAACAUGCUAUAAAACCAAAUUUGACUUUGGCAUUUGCACACGAAUGUGGAAUCGCAGCACGUUUACUGUAAACGUUUUUACUUUUUACAUUACAAAUCUAUUUAUACAUGCUAAUUAUACUAUACAUAUAUAUAGGGUGCAGCAGCCAAUCCAUGACUACUCUUUAGGUUAUGAAUUUAUAAUAAUGUUUUUCAAUGAUGUGUGCUGCAUUUGUUAUGUUUUGAUAACAUUUAUUAAUGUCUACAAAUGAGCUAGAGGUUUUGUGUAUUUUCGGCAUACAAAAACAACUCACGUACCAUUGAGUUAACUUACCAGUACAUGCGUAAUCAACUAGUCAACAUGGAGCACUCUCAACCACUCAAAAGUGUUUUACUCGUAAAUGUCCAAUAUACUCACAGAAGAUGGAGAUUGAAGAUAGAAGAUGGUUUGAAUUUGAGAGGAGUGUGUUGCUCUUGUCUUUCUUUAACAAUAAUAUAAACAGCCAUAAAGACAGUGAAGACCUGCAACAAAAUAUUAGUCGAUAAUUUUACCGAAACCUUGAUAACUAGAUUGGGAGUGCGCAUGAAUAGUCGAUAUUUGUGCAAAACUAAACACAAAUUAUUAGUAAUUGAGAUCUUAUAAGAUCACAUAGUCGAUAUUUGUGCAAAACUAAACACAAAUUAUCACUAAUUGAGAUCUUAUAAGAUCACAUAGUCGAUAUUUGUGCAAACCUAAACACAAAUUAUCACUAAUUGAGAUUUUAUACGAUCACAAAAUUAUCACUAAUUGAGAUCUUAUAAGAUCACAAGUAAGAGUAAUGCAACACCAAGAAAUAAUGAGCAGGCUAGGAUAAAACAUAAAAUAUAAAGACUGGAAAAUACUAAAUUGCUGCUAUCAAGUCAAAAAAUCUUAUUUUAAUUUAAGAAUAAUUAUUCUAUAAAAUGAAAGGCUUAAUGUAUUUUUCAUAAAAUGAGAAAUAUAAUAUAUUAUUGUCCUUUUUUUUUUACAGCACAUAAGCUAUAUAAUACUAGUUAUUGUACGAUUGACAAUUUAUUCAAUUUUAAAAAUUAAUUUGAAAAUCUUUAACAUUAUCAUUAAUUAUAUAUAUUACUAUUUUCUAUAUAAUAUAUUAUAUUAUAGCUGUUAUCGAACAUUAAUUUUUUUAAGAAACAAAAUCUUUAUUUUUUUUAUUCUUUUGGAAAAAUCUAAAAAAAAUAUUUCUCUAAAGUUGAAAUGAAAAUUAAAUUUAAAAACAAAUAUAUUUGCGGUAAAAUAGAAAAAAUACAAUAAUAUAUUAUAUUUCUCAUUUUACAAAUUAAAAAAAAAUGCAUUAAGCUUUCAUUUUAUAAAAUAAUUAUUUUUAAAUAAAAACAAGAACUUUUGACUUUAUAGGGGUAAUUUAGUCUUUUUCAGUUUUCUAUUCAAGGGGGCUAUGUGCUAAUUUCAUACCAUAACGGGGUCAUGUGCAAAAUUUCAAAACCACAAGGGGGUUAUGUGCCUAAUUUCAUACCAUAAGGGGGUCAUGUGCAAAAUGUCAAAACUACAAGGGGAUAUGUGUUUAAAUUCAUACCAUAAGGGGGUCAUAUGCAAAAUAUCCAAACCACAAGGGGGUUAAGUGCUAUUUGCCCUUAAUCUUAUUUCAAAAUUAAUUGUAUAUUAGUUUUUGGUUGUUUGGAAUUGAUAUAAGAUUAAUUUUGAUUGUUUAAUAAUUAUUGUCCCAACAAUAAAAUAGUUAAUAGUAUAAUUGAAAUUUAAUUUUGUAGUGGCCAUUUAAUAAAGAGGUAUAUACAGGGAUUUUUAUGAAUUUAAAAUUUUAAAAAAUAAUAACUUUUGGAUGUCUAAGACGUUAAUUAAAAUUUCAAAUAAUAACUUUCUCUAAUGUGUUAUGGUACAUUAAUUUUUGUAUAUCUUAUUAAUAAAAACAAGGUUGCUCCUGAUAAAUCCUAUGGUUUUUUUCUCGUCCAUUUGAUGGUUUUAAUUAUUAUUUAAUUAAUAAAUUUCAUUUAAUAUAAUUAUUUUAUCAAUAAUUAAUAACUUGUUCCUAUUUUAUUGGCUCGACUCUAUGCAAUUAACUAUUUGAUGAUUUUAAUUAUCAUUUAGUUAAUUAAUUUCAUUUAGUAUAAUAUAUUUUAUUUAAUAUUAUUUAUUAACAAAAGAACCGAUUUUCUAAAAUCCGUUCGCGCGUGUGUGUAUAUAUAUAUAUAUACUAGGUGAGUAGCACCGUGCAAUGCUUGGUGCCGGUGCCCUGUUUAUAUAUAUUUGCAAAAUGUAUUUUUUUAUGCUAGCGUGAGUUUGAAGGGGAUAACGAUAUGCUACGUCGAAGUUUCUCCCAUUUCCUGAUCAAUAUUAGAAGACUGAAUAUAAGGAUCACAUUAAAACAGAGCAUUGUAUAUUGUGAAACGGGCUAUGAAAUAAGAGAUAAGAUUGAUAUGUAAAAAGGUAAAAGACCAAAAAUUAUAUUUAUUAAUGAUAUAGAGCUGAUGUUAUACAAGUUAGUAUUCUAUGAUAUGUAAAUGAUAGAAUGUUCGUACAUAAUCGGAUUAAGAGAAUCAUUUGAAUCACUUAAAAUGGGCUUUUAAUCAGAUUGGGCUGCAUUUAAGGGAACAAUUGGAUCAGGCCCAAUUAAAAAAUAAAUCCUCACAAUCGGUAGUAUCGCCCCAGCGGAACACGCGAAAGAUGCCCGAGGGAGAGAAAAACGAGGCGAAAAAGUGAUAACGGAAAUGGAAAAUUGGGAGAAGAGAGAGAGAGAGAGAGAGGGGAAAAAGAAGCAAUGAGAUGGCCCGGCGGAUCUCCACGGGCGAGGCGUGGGUGAUGGACAGAAACCCUCCGAUAUUUGCCGCAGUGUUGAACGAUGAAUUGUUGUUUAGCUGGUUCGAUUGAAAUUUCGGCGUCCGUAUCUUAGCUGCAUGUCAUUGAUGCGCUGGUAGAUGUUACUUUUGUUCUUGUGUUGUGCUUGAAUGUGGCUAAUAACGGUUGAUUUUCAGUUUGUGAUGGCUUAUUGCUGAAUUUGGAGCUGAAUUUUGGUUUAUUGCUGACAGGUUUGACAGUGGAGUAGUGGUGGUGCAUGCGUGUGUUGGAUGUUAGCCAGUGCUCAGCUCUGGUGGGGGUUUCGACGAUUCAUUUGUUGCGAGGUUAUUUCGAUAUAUUCUCGUGGCUUUAGGCAUUUGGUUCUGGCUGUGUUUUGAAUUGACUGUGUAGUUUCUUAAAAUUAACGUUUGGAAAUAUUGAUUGAACAAAUCGCUUAUGAGGACUUGAAUUUAGGCUGUUCACAGUGAUUUCCGUCGUGUUUUUUCUUCAAGUUUUAGGCAUACGAUUUAUAAAUAGCGAUAACUUUGAUUUUGAAUGAUUGAAGAAUUAAAAUAAAUUGAAUGUAGUAAUCUAUCAACCACCGUCAUAUAUCUGAUGUAUUUAUAAAAUGCUGUAUUUGUCUCGUUAAGUUUCAUGGAUAAAAUAUUUAUUCUCCAGAUUUGGGUGAUUCAGCACGACUUAUUUAUGAUGGUAUAAUCAAAUCUCUGGUCGUAACAGUUUCUGUUCCGAUUAAUUCUGAAAGAUAUGUUUGAAUUGAAUAUAACUUGAGCUUGACUCACAAGUUUACUAAUACUGAUGAAAAUCUCCUUAAAGUUGAACUUUCUUGUUUGGUGGUUUUCAGGCAAGAAUGUACUUGGGGUCCGAUCUGGAGCUUGAGCUCGACAGAGUAAUAGAAGAUCUUUAGGGUAUCGUGAUGACAAAUCCGAAUAGGUUUGUUCAAUUCUUAUGUACCACUAUCUUGAUGAACAAACUAACCAAUGGUUUACAGUCAUAGUUAUUUUGGUGCUUUGGUCAAGUAUAUAAUUCCAGAACUUGAGUUUCAUGGUUUAAUUAAUUUGAAUUUAAGCUCAUAGAUUCCAUAAUAGCAUCGCAUUUUAUUCUUAAUUCCAUCAUACUUGCAUUCUCUAUUUCGUCAUCUGAUUCCUUUCAACUUAGAUUUUGGUUCCCUGAAUCUUUUCAACUUUCUACUUUCUGAUAAAGAUGUCAAUUCUUUUUAUAAACAUAUACCUAGAAAGAAAGAGACAAUUUAAAAAGGAAUGGAUAUGCGAAUAUCUACUAGCGUGUAUAAGGAAUAAUGAACUUUAUUAGUCAUUAAUUAGGCAUGCAAAACAUGAAAGACAUGCAAUGUUGACAUUAUAAAAUUUAUUUUCAUGCUGCAUAGAUGUGUGAAAUUUAAUUUACAGCCUCCCAGUGCAACUUUGCAAAUCGCAUCAAUAAUGACCAAAUUUGUUUAUGUUUGGUAGUGGAUAUAUAGACACACACACACACAUAUACACGUACAAAUGGAUAUAUUUUCUAUUUGUCAAGGGAUAUUAAAACAUGACUAAUUAAUGAAUCAUAUAGUCUGUAGAGGUUGGAACAAAUUUUGAAAUCUCACGAGCUUAUCCAUGGCAAAUUUCAUACCUUCUCCGCCAUUGCAGAGGAGAAUUUCGUUUCUUAAAUGCAUGAGAUUUUAUUUUAUAAUCUAAUACUAUUCUUACCAUAGUGCUUUCUCUUUUGCAGAUGCACGGGAUUUGUGGAUUCAGUUCUAUAUUUCAGGGUCAUUGUUGAACCACAUGCUUGGGACUAGUUCUUGGGGAGUCAAGAAUGUCAUAUAUAGGAUAACUAACUUAAAUUUAACCACUUAAACAUUACUUGUUAGUUGUUUAACAAAGCCACAUGUAUAUGGAGCUUACUUGUGGUUAACAACAUUUAUUUUAAUUACACCAUGGCCUUAUUUAACAUUUAUACAUUAACAAAAAUAAAAAAAUUAGAGAACUCCGACCACCUAUACGUAUAUAUCAAGUAGACAUUAGAGCCCAUAGGUUUCACUAGGUCAUCUUAAUUGGGUACAAAUGUCCCAAUAUACCCAACUCCGAUGAUGAAGAACGCCCCCGCUUGUAGUAGUAGGUAAAUAAAGAAGUGGUUGUGGCCAUAUAGCAUAUUGUAUAUCGCACAAUGCAGCAAGUACAUUCCUACUACGAUCUCCAAGAUGUGAAUCCUGUUCAUAACAUGCAUUUGCUUAAGUUAGUGCACUACAAUCAUUGAAUAUGUUAAGUGGUAAGUGUCAUGUUUGAUCAGUGAAAGGUUCUAUUCCUUAUAAAAAAAAUUAUUGUUGUUGAGUUAGGGCCUGUGUUACCUUUCUGUGAUUCGCGAUCGUGGUCUCUUGAAUGUUUUUGCAUUGUACUUUUGCUUCAUUGUGUUCCCAAGCUUUUCAGUCACAACCCAUUCGUUAACUCGGUUGGCUUCAAGGAGUCCUAUUAUUGCUGCCUUUGAUCUAUGAAGAGACAUAACAUUCUCAAACAGUAUCCAAAACACGAGAAGAUGCAUAGACCUGUGAUAAAGUAAGUGCAAUUAUGCAUCAGUUAGUAUGACAUCGAGAUUUACAAAAUUUGAUUAAAAAAUAACUAAAUUUCUCUUAUUUGGAUUUUCAUGCCUGAAAGUGGAAGCUGCGUUCAGAAUAGUAAUGCAUGCUGGGAGAUAAAUGGCGAGCGGUCGUGGGAGAUCGACUUCAGGAACUAGGAUCGUGGCUGGGAUUAUGAUGCAGUAAAAGAAAAAGGUAACCCAGUGGGCUAUUAUUUUCCUUACAAAGAAAAAUGCAUAAAUUACAUGCCAUUUCUUCCAGAUUGACACACGCUGCAUUAGAUAAGAACAAACCAUGUUAGUUUUCAUAAUUACCUCGAACAAAAUCCUAGAUUUAUUACCUCGCAAAGAAUGAUUUCCUUGAACAUUUUCCUGAAGAGAUUAGCAGGUCCACAUGACCAGCGAUGCUGUUGAUAUCUGUAUGCCUUAAAUGUGCUCGGUAGUUCAUUUUUGACCUGAAAUAAGGGGAUUGUGUUUGAGUUGCUGAAGUUUUAUCUCGUAACAGUAAUUAUUAAAUUUAAGCGAAGAAUUCAAAACUCACUUCUAGAUCUCCAACAAAUAGGAAUUUCCAUCCCUUGAGGCUAGCCCUAACUGCAAGGUCCAUGUCCUCUACUGUGGUUCUAUCUUUCCAUCCACCAGCAUCAAUCAGUGCUCUAAUCCUCCAAACACCGGCAGUCCCUACAGUUUAUUUCAAAUACAAAAUAUCAACUUUUUUCUUCCCUAAAAAUUUCUUACUAUAUACAAAAUUCUGUAAAGUGAAAUAGACUUUGCCGACAACCAUUGAAUCCGAAGAAUGAACAUGUUGAGGAGCCCACUUCUUGUUCAACACUGAAGUGAUAGUGUAGUGACAUCUCCUGGAGGCGCGUCAUUAGACAUUCAUCUGCAUUCACUGCAAAGUAAACUUGUCGUUAGGUUAGUUGUUCGAGUUGUUUGGUGUUCAAUGAACUUUACCUCCAUACUACAACAUUAUAGUGUAGGAUGCCUUACCAAAUUUCCACCUGGCUUGGACCAAGGCCAACUCUGGAUUUUCAAGUAGGUAGGGGACAGUUCUCCAUAGAUAAUCUUCUGCUGGCUGAAAAUCAGCGUCGAAGAUGACAACAAAUUCACAAUCGUUCACGUAAUGCUUCUUUAGACCCUCUCGGAGGGCUCCAGCCUUGUACCCGUUCCUGUUGUUCCUUGUCUCGUACUUGACAUUCACCCCUUUCUCUAUCCAUUUUCGGCAUUCUAGUUCCACCAUUGUCUGCAUGAAUAUUCUAUGGAGUCACUUAUACAGUCACGUAUUGUGAUAGAGUCAAACUAAAAUUUACUACAGAGAAAAAAUGAUACCCGUAAUGCUUCAUUGGUGGAGUCAUCAAGAACCUGUACGAUGAGCCGAUCUGAUGGCCAAGAUAACCCGCAUGCAGCUCCAAUUGAGAGCUUAUAAACCUAAGGCAAAAAGAAGCUUUUGGUUUAGUUCCUCCUCUGAUUAGAUUAAAUUUGAAGAGGGUUUUAUUUGUAAACUCUUUCCUUUAAACCUCUAAAUUGCUUAAGCAUAAGGUCUAAUACAAGGAAUCUCAUAAUUCCGAAUAGGUUUUACUGAUGUUCAAUUCAUAUGGACUACUCCUAGUAUUGGACAUUUUAAAAAAACAAUAGACAUUGUCGUUUUGUUAGUAGUGAAAAAAAGGAGAUGAGGUAAAGUUGUUUUGACUUCCUUUUGCUAAAAGGAACAUUAACCUUCUUCUGAUAGACGGAGUAAAUUUAUUUCUACAUUGGUCCUUUUGCGGGAAUAAUGAAAAAGGAAAUCUGACCAUUUUAAUACAUGAAUUUUUUGAAUGCAAUAUCCAGCAUUAAGGCUCAUGAUUAUGUAGAUUUUGAUUGCAUUAGAUAAAGAAUCAAACAACAACUUAGUUAGAGUUCUUUAUUAGGCAUCUGUUAGCAUAAAUAUCAAUCUUUAUGUUCUUGUUCAGAAGACUUGUUGAUUUAUACUAGCUAAUUGAGCAUGUAAUUAUACGACUGAAAAAAAAAAUCAGUUGCUUACCUCUUUCUCGUUGAACAUUGGGAUUUGGACCAGCAACUUGGGGUGUUUCUUGUUUUUCUCUAGGUCUUCUUUUAUUGCAUCCAGCUGGUACUUGGUGUAUCUUUUCUUGCCCAGGCAUUUGACACAGACAAUGACAACUGCCAUGUAAAUCCGUUCAAUGAAAAGCAUAACGGACAUGGUCAAACAUAUGUAUACUGCAGUUCGUAAAAGAGGUACAAUAAUCGGAACUCGUAUACAAUCCCAAGCAUAACUGAGCCUUCUCGCUGGAUCAUAGGUCUCUAUGGCCUCGGCCUUGUCAAAAAAUCUGCUUCUCAUUGUGAGAAUAUAAAAAUAAUUAGAUUUUUAGUGUAGAAAGAAAAAAAUAAAUUGUAUCAGAAGUCGGACAGAGAGAGGGAGAGAGAGAAAAGGCGAGAGCUCUGGUAAUGAGGGAACUGAAAGCAAUGUGGGCAAUGUAAUAUUUUGCUUUAAAUAGGCACAGGGAACACAGAGGCAUGGGUGAGGGCUCAUUUAGGCUUAGGUGUAAGGGUGGACAACAGAAAGUGAUCUACUAAACGUAAUCUUUCUUAUUGUGAGGUACACGCGGUGCGCAUGCAAGUGAAUUUGCUGCAACGUAGCAUUUGCUAGCUGGCAAUCUGUCCUUUUCCUGCCGAUGUGUAGUUGAAGAUAUAAAAGUUAGAUCAUCAUGAUUAAAUGUCAUUUGUUCUUACAUUAAUUAUUGGUAUACGACAUUCUGGUUGAGUGUUAGAGAUAGAGUUCAAUUGCGAUGUGGUUUCCGAGGUCAUCUAUAAUGCGUUUUAGGUGUAACGUCCCUUGUUUUCUGGCCUCCUGUUUUCAUUUCCCCCUAUUUCACCGAUAAAUAUAUUGGAAUUAAUUUUAGUCCCUUGAUUUAGUAUUUUACUAUUGACGUUGGCAUCUAUGAGUCAGUCAACAUCGAGUAUUUAUGUAAAAAUAGAUUAAAAAGAAGGGGGGAGGAAAUACAUGCCAGAUUUUAGUAUAAUCUAAAGUUUAGUUAAUCGUAAAUAUUUAAAUAGGUUUUAUAGUUUAUAAAAUCUGCCAAAGGCGAUCGUCAUUACUUGCAUGAAUACAACUCAAUUUUUGUCUUUUCACUAUGAAGUUGCUGGAAUAAUGCUCUUACUUUUCUUAAAUCUAAUCUAUAAGGACAAUAUUGAAAUUUUAUCAAAAUAAGUAGUAAAUUAAAGUUUGUUCUGCAAAUAUAUUAACUCUUAUAUUAACAAUUUAAAGCUGAAUUUCAAUAGCAAAUGACAAUUGUAGGAAUUUUUUUUCUCCGUUUUUUUUGUUUUUAUUUUUAAUUUCGGUUUGUAAUUUAAUAGCAAAAUAGUUUCAUCUAUUUGAAUUAUUUCCUUUUGUGUUAUAAAAUCUAGUUUGCAUGUGAUCUCAAUUUAACAUUUAAGUUGAAUGAAACAGGAACUCGAAUACAUUACAUCGUAGUUGUUCAACUUGCAUGGCCUAGCAAAUAACCGUGACAUAUGAAGCAUGAAGCCUGUGGAGUAAGUCUUUACAUUGUUAUGGUCGCAAUUUUCUUGCCAUAACUCGAUUUCUGUAGUUCUUUGAAAUGGUUACAUUAUAUCCUCCUACAUUCAUAGUGUCACAUUUUCCCCCAUUGUUUAGUAGCCACUACUUGUGUAUUGAGUAGCCAUGCUCAUAAAAUUUCCUCGUUUUUUUACGCGUCUUGUGUAAAUUUACUUUAUCACUGUUCUUCUAUGUGAUCUCUUUGAAUUUUCAGUAGUCAGAAUAUUUUCAUUGAUCAAACAUUGCAUGAUAUCAUAUUACAUUGUUUCACACUAGCUUUAAGCAUUUUAAAUAUGCAACAAGGACCUAUAUCUUGGAGGUCACAGUAGGUAUGUAGGUGAUGCAUUGUGCGAUCUACAAUAUGUCGACUCCAACCUACUUUUUCAUUUACGGCUUUUCCUUAAUUGGAGUCUGGUAUAUAUUGGAAUACUUUCUACCCGAUUGAAGCUGAAGAGGGUGAUAGACACAACAUUUACUGAAUACAUUCUAGUGGUUAUUUGAAGUUAAAAUAGCUACUAUACAUAUAUUAGCUAUUUUUAUCUGGCAUUGACCACCAGAUUGUCAACACGUCGGUAUGAUUAACUUUUAGGUUAGGUGAAAUUCCUUUUCAAUUUAACAAGAGUUUUCAACAUAGAACCUUUAUGACAUUCCUGAACUCUCCAAUACUAUUUCCCCAAGUAUAAGCAUGUGGUCCAUCAUGAACCUCAACCGAAGUUCAGCUUCCAAGAAAAGGGUCUACAAUAUAUACGAAACAUGCAGCACUCUCUCCCAAGCAACUGUAAGUUUUCUAAUUUCUCGCCCUAUUGAUAUUUACCUUUUUGGAUAUGAACAAAACAUCUGAUUUAAAAAGAUUUAUACUCUCACAAGCAACUGGUAAGUUUCUAUUCGGCAACUACUUCACAUAGACUGUCGUACGUGACAUUUUAAUUUUCUGCAGGAACUCUAUUCUACUUGUAUGAAAAACAUUGGGCAGUCGAAUAUAUCUCUUGACGUCAUACAUUAGCAUUAAGCUUAAUACGAGAGAUAUUUUCAAUAUGGUGUGCAUAGCCCUCAGUAACCAAAUCCAGGUAACAAUUUCUCAACUUGUCUGUCUUCGAUUUCUUUUUAGGCAGUACAGGUUCUAAAUAUUUAUAGCUUGCAAUUGUAAACCUUAGAAGGUGGACUGCUGUGUUUACCCGUAACUUUCAUUUUGCAGAGACUUAGUAGCACGUCUGCCACUCCAUAUCAUCGUGCAUUGAAUAUUCUCUCACAAGUCACAACAAUGACACCAGAAUUUGUGGAAGAACAUUUGUCCUUGUUACAGUCAUCGGUACGAGGCAUGUCAAUUGUAGUUAAUAGCCUCUCCUGAUCUCGUAUUUAGCUACAUUCUUGGCGGGAAUUUCGGAAUGUAAUGGCAGAAUUGAUUAUAAUAAAUACUGAUGGUAACAACCUUGUAUAUUUCUGAAAUUUUGCUUACUACUACGUUUCAUUUCCACUGCCAAACGAUUGAAUUGGGCCCAGUCAGAAAUUCCCAGAUUGCAGCCCAAAUCUAUGUCUUCUCUUCAGCCUUGGACAAUUGAUUCGACUUCUUCAAAACGGUGUCGUUGGCAGCAGACCCAAUUUCUCCCAUCUUCGUCUCUAAAUGUGCACCAAGAUUGCACAUUGUGGGGAAAUUCUAUGCUACACCUGGUGAAUAUAACCAGGCACCCUAAUUAAUAAGAUUCCCACUACGGGUUCAGUUAUGGCCCAAUGGGUUUUUAGAAAUAUAAUUAUAAAAUAAAUAAAGAAGGACACAUGUCAAGAAAAGAGCCACCCGGUGAAAAUCACCGGGUGUAGCAUCGUAUUCCCCGCACAUUGUGUACGUUAAAAAACAUAUUGUCUUAAAAAGAUUUAAUUUGAGGGCACUGGAAAUGAAAUUAUAUAGGGUAAAUUACAAACACCCCUGAGGUAUGGUUAAAUUAAAAAAACCCCCCUCUGUUUGGAUAAUUACAUCUACCCCUCAACUAUGAUUUUUUCUUAGAUCUCCACCUUUAUGGUGCCAAAUUCAACAUAGUCAUCUAGAUUCCGUGAAAUGUGCUCCAGUUUGUACUUGUUUUGUGUAAAAAUACUAGGGUUGUGCAUGGAUCGGUUUUAACCACCAACCAACCCAUUUUCGACCCAUAAUUUGUGACGGAUAAUCAACCAUCAACCGACCCAUUUAAGUUGGGUCGAUAAUCUCAACCAACCCAUGUAUAGUUGGGUCGAUAAUGGUUUCUAAUAUGCUAUAAAGUUGGUUAGUCGGGUAAUAUCGGCCAACCAACUUUAUUUAUUAAUUUUAUUUAAAAUAUUUAAUAUUUUUAAUUUCAAAUUUCUAUUUUAUAUCACAUUUAUUAAAUUGUUUAAUAUUGACCAAAAUCCUAAAAGCAAUAAAUCUAACCUAAUUAUAUAUUUUGAACUAUUUUAAUUUUAAGACACAUAGUCUAAAUAUUUGGACGAUUAUUAUUUGUUGAACUAUUUAUGUUUAAUUGCAAUAUAUAUGGCCCGUAAUGUUUUUAAUUAUUUUUUAUUUGAAUAUUGUUGAACUAGUCAUAUUAAAUUUAUAAAAUAUAUAGCGUUGUAACAACUAAUAAAAUAUUAAAUAAAAUUAAAAAAAUAUUUAGAUGGAUGACCCAUCAACCAAACCAUCAACCGACCCACUAAAUUGGUUUUCAACCAUCACCCAACCCAUGUAAAUUGGGUCGAUAACGGUUUCCAAUAUUGACCAAAGUUGGUUGGAUGGGUUGGGUUGGUUUUAUGGCUGGUUUUUAACCAAACCAACCAACGCACAGCCCUAAAAAAUACAAUUUCUGAUGCACCACAAACUGAUAUAUACAAGCUAAAAAUCACAUAUUAUGAUCAUCUUGCUUCAUAAUGUAGAGUUUGAAUGGGAUAAAACGGGUACAAAAGUGAUAAUAUUCCAUAUAAUCUCGAAGAUUCCACUAAAUUUGAUGAGUUGAGGGGAUGGUUGUAACUAUCCAAACAAGAGGGGUGUUUUUGUAAUUUGACCAUACCUCAGGGGUGUUUGUAAUUUACCCAAAUUAUAUAUGAUAAAAAUUAAAAAUAAUGCACAUGCUAUAGUAUACUACAACGAAAUUAAUUAUAAAAAAAAUAAAAAAAAAAAGUAAUAAUCUGGAUUUCAUCUUGACGAGGGUGUGAGUCUCUGCAGCUGCAUCAUACGAGCAUAUAUCCCAUCAGGAUAAUUCUUCAAGAGAUGAGAAUGGGAGCCCUGUUCCGCCACUUUCCCAUCAUCAAGCACCGCAAUCACGUGCGCAUUUCUGAUCGUCGAAAGCCGGUGCGCCACCACGAUCGUCGUCUUCCCCGCACAAGCUCGUUCCAGCGCUUCCUUUAUACACCUCUCCGACUCCACAUCGAGCGCGCUCGUCGCUUCGUCCAGCAACAUUAUCUCCGCCCUCCUCAACAAUGCUCUGGCAAUAGCAAUUCUCUGCUUCUGCCCCCCCGACAGCUGCACCCCUCUCUCCCCUACAAACGUCCUGUAUCCCUCCGCCAGCGACCCUAUGAAUUUAUCCGCGUCCGCCAUUCUCGCUGCCUCGACGACCUCCGAUUCCGUCACCGACUCACCCCCGCCGUAGGCGAUGUUGUCGUAUAUGCUCGUCGCGAAUAGGCACGGCUCCUGUGGGACCACCGCCACGUGGCGCCUCAACGACUUGAGAUUGUACUUUCUGAUAUCCUUCCCGUCCACGAAAACACGACCCGACGACGGCUCGUAGAAUCUCUGUAUCAGAGAUAUCACGGAGCUCUUGCCGCACCCGCUUGGUCCAACUAGGGCUAGUGUUUUCCCGGGCCGGGCCCGUAGGUUCAAGUCGCGGAAGAUCGACACGUCGGGCCGGUUCGGGUACGAGAAAUCGACGUGCUUGAAUUCCACUUCACCACGGAGCUUCUCCGGGUUGGAGUUGUUGGUGGUUUCCGGCGGGUCGUCGGGGUCGAUUUCGGUUCUCCGGUCGAGGAGGGAGAAAACGGAACGCAUCGCUCGGCCGCCCUUGAUGAAAUCGGGGGCUAGGGUUAGGGUUUCGGCGGCGCCGUUUGCGGAGACCAUGAGCACCAUGAAGACGCGAAUGGUUUUUGAGAAGUCGGAGAUUCCGUUCUUCACGAGGUACGAGGCGUACCAUAACCCUAACGCGUAGGAGGCGUAGAGUGCGAAUUGGGCGACGCCGUAACCGAUCCCGGCGACCUGCCCCUUCCAGAAGCACCGCCGGAGCGGCGGUUGCAGACUGGCGAUGAAAAGGUUGAGAAUUUUUGACUCCGAAUUGAAUGCCGCUACUGUUCUCACAUUCGCCACCGCUUCCCCCGCCAGCUGUGUUGCCUUGGAGUGCGCCGCCUCCAAGUCGCCGGAGAAUCCAGUCAUAAACAUUUUCUGUCCAAAACACACACACACACACAACAAUGAUUUUUUAUUUUUUUUUAAUUUAUUUUUCCACAAAAAAAUAAUUAAAAAUUAACCUGUAAGACAGUAGCUGCAACGACGAGAGGAAAAACAGCAAUCAGAACAAGUGCAAGCCGCCAUUGGAGCACAAAUCCAGCAGUGCAAGCCACAAGCAUAAGAGCAGAGUUCUGCAUAAUAACAGAAAUCCGAUCUCCGAUGGCAGAUCUAACGUUGUUCGCAUCGAGCGCCAGCCUGGCGGAAACCCUAGAGCUCUCGUUCUCUUCCAUGUCGAACCAGGCCAUUUCAUUCUUCAGCACAGCCACAAGCAUCUUCUCCCUCACGCGCUUGGUCAGAUUCUCCCCGACAACGUCCCAAUAGAAAUGCUGCAGGGUAUUAAAAACGAGCGCAGCCGAAGAAACUCCGAUCAGAAGGUAGCAGUACUUCCCAAUCUGUUCGAUCAUGUAAGCAUGGUCCAGGCUGUAGUACACGCUCAUAACAGCACUCAGCACAUAGGCGAAGAACGCGCUAAGCGAGCCGCAUACGACCGAGCCUAUUGAACCGAUCAAUGCGUAACCCCAUUCCGGAGAAUUCAUCUUCGCCAGACGCAAAAAGGAACUCGCUUGCUCUUUGAAAGCCAGCUUUUCGAGACGGUAAUUAGGGUAUGAAGAGGCUUCCAUGGAGAGGCUGAAAUCCGAUGUGGAGAAAUCGGAUAAUCUUCUCGAGUAAGGCGAUCGCCCGUAAGAAGAGUUCCUCGUGAUUAUCGGUGAACUCACCGAGUUUCUUGCACUAGACUGCCUGUAAUAAAUUAUAUAAAAAAAGUAAGUGAUUAAAAAGUCACUAAAUUAAAUAAAUAUUUUUUUACGAGAUUUUUUUUGAAGGACCUUGCGCUGCUUUUUCGAGCAGCUUCGAGGGCGGCUUCUUGGAUGGUGAUGAGGUUGGAGUAGAGGCUGUUUUGGCCUUUCGAGAUGAGGUCUUCGUGGGCCCCCAUUUCGUGGAGGAUGCCUUGGUGGAGAACGGCGACGAGGUCGGCUUUGCGGAUGGUGGAGAGGCGGUGGGCGAUGACUAGGGUGGUUCUACCAAUGAUGAAGCGGUCGAGUGCUUCUUGGACUAGCUUUUCCGAUUCGGAAUCUAGUGCGCUCGUUGCUUCGUCUAGGAGAAGGAUUGAUGGGUUUUUCAGCAUUGCUCUUGCUAUUGCUAUUCUCUGCUUUUGCCCGCCGGAGAGUUGUGUUCCUCUCUCUCCUACCUGAGUAUCGUAGCCGUCUGGUAGCUUAACGAUAAACGAAUGCGCAUUAGCCACUCUAGAAGCUUCCUCGAUUUCGAUCAAACUCGCAUCUGGUCUUCCCAAUAAUAUAUUUUCUUUAAUGGUGGUUGCAAAUAAAGCCGGUUCUUGGCUCACCAGACCAAUUUGCUGCCUCAGCCAUCUCAAUUUCAAUCUCUUGAUAUCAUGCCCAUCUAGCAUAACUUUCCCUGUAUAUGUAGCAGUUAAAAACUAUUUAGUUAACCCACAAAUUCAAUAUUUUUUUGUCCAUUAUAUAGUAAUUGGAAAAUAUACCUGAAGAGGGAUCGUAAAAUCGCUCGAUGAGUGAUACAACUGUGCUUUUACCAGAGCCACUGCUGCCGACCAAGGCUAUUGUUUUUCCGGCAGGAACAAUGAGAGAGAAUUUGUUGAGUACUCGGCUUUCGGGUCUCGAUGGGUAGGAAAAGAUCACAUUUUUAAGCUCUAAUUGACCCGUUAUUGAUUCUAGUUCCAAACCCGAUUCUUUGUUUCGUUCGACGCUUGGUUUGUGGUCGAUUACACAGUAUAUUUUAGCUGCUGCGGCUCUUGCCUUUGCGAAUGCAGCCAUGCUUGGUGCAGAUUGCCCCAAAGCCCUAUACAAAAAAAAAAAGAAAUAAUUUUUUUUUUUCAUUUUUCUUCUCGAUCGAAUGUUGUUUGAAAAAAUUGCUAUUAAUGAAUUGACUUACAGGCCACCAAUCAUGACGGCAAACAUGGUUGAUAUCGCAAGCCCUCCGUUUGUGUAAUGGUGCCUAACUAGAUAACCUCCAUACCAGAGGAGAAGUGCAUAGCAGCAAAAUACGGUGAAAUAAGUUGCUCCUAAUCCCAUUCCUUUAGCAAAUCCGGUUCUGUAACCGAUUUUUUGCGAAACUUUGAGGGCUGCUGAGUAGGAUUGCAGCGCUCUCGAUUCGCCCACGAACGCCAAAACUGUUCGAAUUUGGCCUAUUGUCUGCAUUAGUAGAAACAGAGCAAUAUUCAAGGUGUUGUCCAAUAAUGUAUUCUAUAUAUAUAUAUAUAUAUAUAUAUAUAUAUAUAUAUAUAUAAACACCUGCUCUGCAAUAUUUCCUGCUUGGGAGAGAGCUUGUUGGCUCUUGCCGGAGAGUUUCGCUAACGUGACGGCAUGAAUACCUCCGAUGACAGCUAUUAGAGGAACGACGGCAAGUGUGACGAGAGCUAGCUGCCACACUGCAGUGAAUCCCACGACAAAUCCAGACACAAAUGUUGCCAUGUAAUGUAAGAAAUUCCCCAACUGCAGACAACAAAAAUUGAGUUCCAAAAAUCACAAUUAUAUGUCAAUUACAAAAAAAUAAAAUAAUAAAAGGGUUCUUUAUCUUGGUCGACCUUUUCACUAAUGGCAUCUUGAACAAACACAGCUUCGGUGUUAAUGGCGAAAACUACAUCGGAUGUACGGACUUGUGUAUCGAAGAAUUGAAUAUCUUGGUUCAGAGCAGCUUCUAAGUAUUCGAUCCUCAUUUUUGUUGAUUGUCUUUCUCCACUCCACAUCCAACAUGAUAUCUCUGCAGAAUCAAUCUACUAUUAAAAUCCUAAUUUUUUCAUUAAAUAAAGAUUACAUUUUUAAUUUUUAUUUUCUUAAUCGGUGGUGUUUUUGGGUUAUACCUGCCCAUGAAGAUGCCCAAAUAGCAGCUCCAACUACAAGAAAGUAAUAAGCAUACUGCAAAAAUAAUCAUAAUCAAGAUUCAAGACAGAGAAAACUAUAAUGUAACUUCAAAUUUGUGAAAGAUCAAAGAUUGGAUUUUUACCUUCAAAACUUCUUCCGUCAUCUUAUCGACAUUGUCGGCAUUAGAACCGAAGGAAUUAACGAGAUCGGCGAAGAAUCGAAGGAACAACGGCAACGAGCUGCCAUGAACAAUGGCGCCAACUGUACCGAUUGCCAUUAGAAAAUAAUCAAGCCCAUCGGCGAACCGGAACAGCUCUCGAAACCCGACGGAAGGCGGCGGCGGGGGAGGAGGGGGAUUCUCCGGUGCACCGCCGCCGUGUUUCUUCUCGCCGGAGGUGGAAACCUCCAUUGCUGGUAGUUUGAGCUGUCCGGUGCUUUGUGGUGCAGUUCGUGCAGUUGAAGAAGAGAGGUAAUUAUCCGGUGAGGUUGAUGAGACAACAAGUUCAAGGUCCUGCAGUUCGGACAACUUCCAUUGCUCGAUUGUAUUUAUCUCCUCACAAUCUUCUUCCACCAUAUUUUCUUUAAUUUGUUAGCUUCUUAAUUACGACACACAGAAAAAUUAAAUUAAUAAAUAAAUUAAUUAUCAGGCCACCAAUUUGUUUUUUAUUACAAUUAUAAAACAAAUCAUGCUUCUAUGCCUUUAUUUUUUUGUUUCUUCGCGCUCAUUUAUUCUUCAAUGGCUGAUCUUCUUGAUUUAUUUUAUUCAGAGUUUUAAUAUUUAUAAAUGUUUUUUUUUAUUACAUGUGGGGAAAGCAAGCAUCAGUGAGUGUGUGUGUGUGUGUGUGAGAGAGAGUGUGAAGUACUGGACUUUGGCACCCGACAAAAAUUACUGUGUAAAAAUGUAGAUACAAAAUUGAUGGAAAAGAAACAAAUAUUACAUUCGAUAUAUGUAUGUAUAUAUAAUAUAUAUGUGUAAUCAAGUUUGGUAGAUGCAGUAAUUUAUAAUUGAAAUGGGACUGUAAUAAAUUACACUUUUCGGGUUGAUAGGUGUUCAUUGCCACACUGAGUCAUUUAUUUAUUAAAUUAAUUUUUUUUUUUUAUGAAUAUAUUUUAUUGCUUGUGGAAAUUGUGUAGCUUCUUAUACAAGUUAAAACUUGUGGAAGAAAUUGAGUCCAUGGUCAAACUAUGUACUUUCUCUAGUCUCACUCUACCCUUUAAAUCCGGUUGUUUUUCUUCUACUUUAUUUCGUUUUGUUAAUUUAUUAAUUUUACAACAAAAAAAAAGAAAAAAAGAAAUAAAAAAAUGCAUCAUAAAAAUUCGUUAGGAUCAUUUCACACUCAAAUCGACUCUAGACGGUACGAGAAUUCAAAAAAAAUCUUGGAAAUUAUGAAUUACAUAACUUGAAUUCUGCAAGUUUUUAUCUUGUGGUCAAUUUGGGCUUGAGUUAAUAAUAUGUUUAUAUUCGAGCUAAUUUGGAUCUAUUGAUGUGUACUCUGAACGAACCCAAACCGAACCGAAAUCGAAACCUUAUCAAUUACUUAGGGUGAAAGUAGGUAAUUUUAAUUCAUAAUUUUUUAAGAAUUAAAGAUUUUUCUUACAAUCCUAUAAGAAAUGUAUUGAACUACUAAUAAUUGUAGAAGAGAAUAAAACAACUAAGAUACAAUCACUUCUCCACUAAAACACCACAUAUUUCCACCAAAACUUGAAUUAAUUCAUCCAACUAAAAAGUUUUUGAGCAGGUACAAAAAACACCAUCACCUGGAUUUAUUUAAAAAAAUCAAUAAUUUUUGUCAGAAAAUCAUCGCAAAAUCUGCAGAUUCCUCUCCCUAAACACUUGUUUAAAGUAAAAGACAGAAUAAUUACUGACAAUUUUAAUUAGUGACAUUUUCUUAGUGUAAAGGGGUGAUAAUUAUUAAUUAGAUUACAUACACUAUGUGUAAUUAGUUGCUUUAAUCAGGUGUGCUUUAGAUUAUUCUUAAAGGAAAAAAAAUUAACCUGGAAAAAAAUCAGCUGCUUUUAAGCUAAAAGAAUAUGCUCUAAAGCAAACUUGGAUCUGAUCAAAUGAGAACCACAUCAGCUUUUUCUUUUUUUAAAACCCCAUCAAUUCUUUAACAAUAGUUGGGAUCGAACUUAAAAAAAUUAAAUUUAGAUCAAAGUAUAUAUAUUAUAUAUACAACAAUUAUUUAUGAUUGAUUAACUAAUUAGAUGCAUAUUAUUAUUUUUUUUUUUAUUUUUUUUUUAAUAAUUUUUUUUGUAAAAUUAAUAAAUUGACAAAUUUGACCCAAAAAAGAAGGAAAUUUCAGAAAAUGGGUAAUAUAUAUAUAUAUAUAGGUAAUAUAUAUAUAUAUAUAUAUAUAUAUAUAUAUAUAUAUAUAUAUAUAUAUAUAUAUAUAUAUAUAUAUAUGUGGCUUUGAUUACAUGUCUGCAAUUCCUUCCCAACAAAGGUUUCUUUUGUUUUUCCACUUCCCACGCGCAUUUUUCUGUCUUCCUAACUCAGCACCUGUCGUUUUCACUCACUGUGUAUUAAUAAUUAUUUUUCUUUUAUUUUUGUUUUAUUCUUUUAAAAUUAUAUAUGUAAUACAGAUUCGUAAUUUCUAGUUAUAGAAGCAAAUAAAUAUUCAGUGCGAAAGUAAUUUCUGACUCCCCUUAAUUUAUCUCUGGGCUUUUUAUUUAAUUUUCUGGAUUUAUUUGACAUUGCAUUCACUAUUGGAUUAAGUGGGCCUCAUCGUUUGAAAAUCCCAAACUAUUGGAUUUUUAUUUUUAUUUUAUUUUAUUUUAUUAAUGCAAAUUAUACUAUUGGAUAAUACAUUUAUAUAUUCCAAAUUUGUUGAGUCAAACAAUGCUGACAAAUGUGGUAGGUGAACAAAAUUCAUUUAAAAAAAAUCAAGAUAAAUAACAUUCAAUCAAUUAUUUUCAGAAAAUUCAAUGAUUAAUGUGAAGUUGGGUGCAAAGAAGAGGGAACUGGUGGCCCAAAUUAUACCAAUGAUUAAUUCAAUUUUUCGCACUUAAUCAUCACUUAAACCACUUUCUCCAUUUCUUUUUGUUUUAAGUUUUUCCUUAGCCAUUAUCUUUAUUUAUGACACAAUUUAUUUCCACAUUAUAAAUAGUAGUUAAUUAGCUUAUAUUUAGAUGAUAAGCUUAUAAGUUGUUAAAAUCAACUUAUAAGAUGUUUAAGAGCUUAUAAAUUCUUUCAAAGUCUUUGAUAAUUUUUCAAAAAAUCUUUAAAUUCAAACAUUUCUAAGUUUAUCAUAUUCUAAGUUUAUCAUCCAGACACUUCAAACAUUAAUUGUAAAAAUAAGACAUGACAGUUUAUCAGCUCUUAAAAUAAUUGUAAGUGCUAAUUAUCAUAUUUUAAAAAUAUUUUUUGCCAAACAAGCUCUUAUACAUUUGAAAUAAAUGAAAUUUUGUUUAUAUAUGAAUUGCUAUGUUUAUUUUGGAGUCCACAAAUUCUGGAUCAAAUAAUAAUAUUAUCGGGCCAUGAAAUGAAUUGCGGGCCAAUUUGUAAAGCCCAAUUAUUUGCAAUAUUGACAACUCUCAACCCGAUGUGUAAAUGGGCUCAGCCCAAUUUCUAGAGUUCGGCCCAAAAUAAACUAAAAUAAGUCCAGAAAUAAAUAGGGGUUUAUUGCAUUCGUCUCCCUUAUAUCUUCUCUAAUUAUUAAAAAGCCCCAAUGUUAGUUUUAUUGCCAAAAACCUCCUUCUGACUCAAUCUUUUUUAGUGCACUAACCCCUAAAAAUUCACAAUUUAGAACACGUGGGUACAAAAUACAAUAAACUCUAAAACAUGGCCCUACUAUAAAUGAAUUUUGCUAAUUUUAAUAUUAUGAACAUUUUUUUAGUAAUUCGAUAUAGCACAACGAUGAAGAAUAAAAUAAACUGUAAUUACAUUUAUGGAAUUAAAUUAAGGUUUGAAGUUUCCAGAUUCAAAGCAAUACCUAACAGUUGACAAAGGUAAUAUCUGUACUUAAUUGGUGGCCGGUGAUCAUCUUCUAAUUAAAAGUAAGCUGAAAAUGUGGAUUAUUUUGUGAUUACUUUGCCAAAAAUAAUUAUUUGGUUACUUAAGCUACUUGACAGCGCAAGUAAUCUUAUCUUACUGGAUAUUUUAAAUUUUUUCUAUUCACUAAUCAGUGAAAUUAGUUUCAAGUACUUUAAGGUAAAAAGGCACUACAAGAAUUUGUCUCAUCUACUUUUUACUCAUGCAUGCAUGCCCUUUACAGAAAGCUUGACUUUUUCAACUACUACUGCUUUUUUUUUUAGAAGACUUCUGCUUGAUUCCCAAGAUAUGUGUGUGUGUGUGUGUGUGAGAGAGAGAGAGAGAGAGAGAGAGAGAGAGAGAGAGAGAGAGAUUGUUUAUUCUUUAUUCUUAAAGAAUCGGACAAACUGGUGGUGAAGAGGUCAAUGGAAGCUUAUAAGGUGUUAAGAAUAGCUUAUAACAACUUAUAAGUUUUUUCAAAGUGUUUCUAGUAUUUUAAAACAAUCUAUCAGCUGUUCAAAAUAAGCUUCUCAAACGAACCCUUAUUAAGAUUGCUUAAUUUUUCUACAUUAUUUAUCAAGGGAACUCAAUUAAUUCAUUGAUUUUUGUCAAAACUUCGCAGCAAAAACAGCCUAGCCCCAAGAAAAAAUUGAAGGCAUUAUACACUAAAGUCGCAUUUUCAUAAUUAUUUUCAUCUACUAGCCGUAGCGCCUUUUGGACUCGUUCCUACAAUAUAUUAUCUAUGGCGAUUUUUUCACACACACACACACACACACACACACAUAUAUAUAUAUAUAUAUAUAUAUAUAUAUAUAUAUAUAUAUAUAUAUAUAUAUAUAUAUAUAUAUAUAUAUUACUCCAUUGGAUAAACUUCUCAAUUUCUCCUAUCUAGUCUUUAAUUAAUUGUCCUCCAAGUGGGAUUUAUUUUUCUUGACUUCUGCAAAAAAUAUAUAUAUAUAGUCAAGCUUGUUCCCACUGUAUAUAAAACUUAGUUCCUUCACCCAAGUCAUUAAUGGCGGCCAACUUGAGUACUACUAUUUAAUUAUGCAAACACUUAUUGGACCAUUACAAAAAAUUACUAUAAGUUUUCGUUGGCGUGAAGUUGACAACCUUUUCAAUUUUCAAAAAUUGACAAGGUUGUUGUCCAAUCAUAAAUUCAUUUCCAUAUUUAAUUAAUUAAUAUUUUGUCAAUUCUUGCAAGUCACACAAUAAAUAAAUAAAGGUGACAAAGAAAAUAAAAAAAUAAGCUGUAGCACUGAAUAUGGUCGGUCUGGCGAUGAUUUUUUUUUGAAAUUUUAAUUAAACUGAAGGUCGUAAUCAGCUGCAUAAAAAGUUUGCUGUACGUGAAAAUUGUGUUUUUAAAGUAUUUUUUUUCUUUGGUAAGAAAAUCUGCAUUGAUCUUCAGACAAGGACAAUUUAUCAAAUUUGAAUACUUGGCCAUCUCAAUCAUUGAACAAUUGUCGUAUUAAAUAUAUUCAAAAUAUUGUCAGCAAGACUGAGAUCAUUAACGUGGUCGAUCUGACCAAAUUUAAUAUAUUUAACAUUAAAUAUAAUAAAUUUAAAAUUUAAAAAAAUUAAAAAUUAAAAUGAAAAAUUAACUUGAUCUUUGAAUUUUUAUUAGUAAUAGUAUUACGGAUUAAUUGAUGAAAUUAAUUCUGGAUUUCUUGAUUUCAAUUUACAUAAUUAAAAAAAAUAAAAUAAAAGCAGUUAAGACAGAAAGUACUACAACGCAUAUAAAUGAAUAAUAUUUACCAAAAAAAUAACAACAAUUCAAAAAAAUAAAAAAUAAAAUAAAAUAAGGAUCCAUAUUUGUUUUUUCAGUAAUCGAAGAGUAGUUUAUCUUCAGUCUUGAUCUCAUCCACAAAGAAGUUGAGGCUAUUACUGCUGUUAAUAUUGGUAUUAGUGCUGCUAAUCAGCUGCUUAAUCUCCUCAAUACUAUGAUCAACUGGAUUCUGAUCACCAACAAAACACCCAUCACUAAUAUAAUUACUACUACCACUAAUCAUGAAUUUAGUAUCAUCACUAAGUACCCCAUUAUUGCUUAAUAACAAACUCUGCAAAAAUCUAUUGUAAUCAGGCUCCACUAAUCCCUUGCCAUUACGACAACUAAUCUGGUUAUUCGUAAUGCAGCUCCCAUCAGAUGAACUGCAGCUGGGCCCACCACUAAUCUGAUUGUAAUUAAGAUAGUAAUUACCUUGAACAUGGCCCACUAAUCCAUCAGCGUUUGAUGCAAAAACGGCGUCGUUUUUAUUGUAAAAUGGUAAUUGGGUGCAAUUAAUUGAUGGAUAAGAAGAUCCGAUCAUAAACGAGGAGGAAUUGAUUGACGGCUGUGAUGAAAAGUUGGUAAUGAUUUGAUGAUUAUGAUGCUUCUUUUGAUGAUGAUGAUAAUUAUUGGGAGGUGGUGGUGCCACGCUGGCAAUGAGUUUCUUCUUCAGCUUUGUGUUCCAGUAGUUUUUAAUAUCGUUGUCUGUUCUUCCUGGUAAUUGACCUGCUAUGAUUGACCAUCUGCACUUGUUUGUAUGUGUAAUGAAUGUGUGUCAUGUGAUACUUAAUCAAUUAAUCUAACUGUAAUUAAUUAAUUAAUGAAUUAAUUAAAUUAAAUUAAAUUAAAUUACCUGCUUCCAAUUGUAGCAAAGAGUGUGCAAAUGAUUGUAUCUUCAUCUUCUGAAAAUUCGCCAUGCUUUAUAUUUGGUCUGAGAUAAUUCAGCCAUCUCAGCCUGCAACUCUUUCCACAUCUUUUCAGCCCUAUAUAUAUUUAGGUGAAAUUAAUUAAUUUUAUUUUGGAAGAAUUAAUUAAUGAUGAAAUUAAAUAAAUAAAAUAAAAUAAAAUAACAUACCAAUUUUGUGAGGGAGAGCAAUCCAAUUACCACCAGUGCCAUUUUUCUCUAUGUAGUUCUUGAGAGUUGCAUCUUCUUCAGGUGACCAUGGCCCUUUCUUCACCUUUGACUUGUCACAGCAUGGUGCUCUUCCCAUUUUCUCUCUCUCUCUCUCUCUCUCUCUCUCCUUCCUCUUUCUCUCUCUACACUUUCUCUCUCUUCUGUGAGAUUUUCAAAAGUCUUGUUGAUGUUUGUUUUGAGGACAAUGCUACAACAUGUGUGUAUGUAUGUGUAUAUAUAUGUAAAAUAAUAAUUAGUGUCAGAGGUGCACAAGUCAAAGAUGGAUACAAAUUAAUAAAUAUUCCAAUUAUUUGCAUGCAAUUAUAAUCAGUUGUUUAAUUUAAUUUAAUUAAUUAAUUAUCCGCAGUCAGUGAUUAUUAGCUGAGGCAGCUUUCGAAUAUUUAAUUAAUCAAUCCCAUCACCCAAAUUAAUUAGCUUCAUCCAAUUUGGCUGUUUCCUCCCAAGAAUCCAAAACACUUGUCUAUAAAUAAAAAUACACACAUGCACCUCACUAUUCAGAUUUAAACAAUAGUUGUUCGUUAUUGGUAAUAAUUAGUACUAAUUAAUUUCCGUUAAAGAUUGAUUUAUCUGUAGGUGGCCAACAAUCUAACCAAUUAAUUAUUUAUGACAGGAUAUAUGAUAUAUUAUCAAGAACUGAGAAACAACAUAAUCCAAAGGUAGUUGAAAGUUCUGUAACAACUAAAAGGCAGAGCUGUUACAAAUGAUUAAUUACAAGUAUCCUUUUGUCAAUAUUAAUUAAUUAAUUAUUCCUCCGAGCAAUUAGCUUAAUUAAUUAAAUUAAUUAUGAAUAAUAUCGCUCCAUCUAAGAAGUAAGAACACAUGCAUCUUUUCAUUAACAAAUUGGUUUACUGAUUAUCCACUUCUCGCCUUUUCACCUAAUCUUCACUGUAAAUAUGUUAAUAAAAUGGUUUACUUUUUUUAAUGAAAAAAUUAAAUCUUUAAAUAGUAUAUAUACAUUGAAAAUAUUAAUUUGUUGUAAGAAAAAUUAACCAGAGAAGCAGUGAAUAACAUCCAAUUAACAAAUUAAAACUCCCAUAAAAUAAUACUAAAAUCGAGGCAGUAAAUACAUCUUAUCAUACUUCAGAUCUCAAUCAUACGUCAGCAAAGAGAGAGAGAUAAACAUGCUUUGACUUGGCCAAUUAAUUAAAGUCUGACAGAUUUUCAAUCUACGACUAUUAUAUUUUGUUUUAAUUUAAAUAAAAUACAUAUACAUAAGUAGCAAAAAUAUAUUGAACACGAGGAACAACCCGAAUCUGUGUGUUUCAAUUAUAUUCAGCAGUGUACCACGACGACUCUGUCUCUGUACUUUCAAAGUAGACAAAAUCACUGCUGAUGCAUGCAGAUCAUUUUUUUGCCUCAACACCCUCUACACACUUUCUGCAUGCAUAUUUUAUAUUUUAUAAUAUAUAUAUAUAAUAUAAUAUAUAUUGUUUGGCUCGUUGGGCCCUACUGGAUUAUUAAUAAUCGGCCCAUUUAACCAUCUCCAUAUGAAACGGCCCAAUAACAUUAAUCCAUAAUAACAAGUUGAACUGGGUUACCCUUUUCGGGCCCAAACUAUUUGGGCUUUAAGGUAAUUAAUUGAAUAUACAAUACCCAUUCAGAUGGACUAUGGUUCUUAUGAUCAAGUGGGUUGAUAUUAAUUUGAAAUAUAUCAAUCUCUCGUGAUAGGCCCUGGCCCAUUCAAAUGAAAGACUCAUAUUGUAUGGCCCGGCCCAUUUAAUUUGUCAUCAUUCUGCAUAUAGUGAGCCCGAAAAUUAUAUUUCACCACUUCCACAACAACAGUCAUUUUUUAAGACUAUUUUAAUUUUAUAUUAUAUUGUUUAUAUUUUCUACUCAUUAACCCUCUCUUAUAAAUCAUUAACUGAUAAAUAUUAUUUUGGUUAUUUUUAUAUGAUUUAACUAAAGCCAGGCCAAAUAUCUUACUACUUGUGCAAAUAUAAAAAAAAAAACAAUUAUUUAAAAGUGAUAAUCACGUAUUCACGUGUUUUAUAUUCCAACUUUCGGGGUCAAAUUACAAGGGAUCAUUAAUUUACAUUAUCAAUCUUAAACAAGUGGAGAAAAUGAUGUUUUCAAACUAGGAAGUAGGGGAAACAUGUACUAAUGCAAUGAAGUAUAAUGACAUCUACCAACCAAUUUUGCACAUAAUAUAUUAAGAAAAUAAUAUAAUAAUAAAAAUAAUUAUGACGCACAAUUAGAAUUCUCAACUCUGAACAAGUACCGAUUUUGCGACUACUUACAUUAUCUAUGUUAUACAUUCAAUGAAAUUUCCACGAGAGAAAAAUGUAGCAAUGACCCAAAUCGGUUGAAUUGAGAAUUUUAUUUACGUUGACCGCGUUCCAAAAGAGAGAUACGGAAGAAGACUUUCACCAAAUCACGUACAACUCGCGAUGCACGCGGUACAAGCCAUCGGCAUCCAAAUUUCCCUACGGCCGCAGAGGAGUAAAAAACCAAUAAUCCCGCACCGUCGACCGUCACCGUCAACUGCCAGCUGGCGCCAUCACGUAGCGUUCACAUCUAAAUUGGGAUCCACCGAACGGAGUUAAUAACGUGGGGCCCGCGUAGGGUUUGUUUUCAAUUCCACUGAAAACUAGAGCUAGAGAGAGAGUGGUGGUGAUUGGUAGAGAGAGAGAGAGAGAGAGAGAGCGAGUCAUCCGGAUCCGCUAGUAUAAAUACUCACAGCCUCCGCUCCAGAAAUUCAUUCUGCAUCUGCGCCUUCCAUUUUCUUCCUCCUUUUAUUGCAUUCCCGAGAUCUCUCUUUCCACCAAAAGGUGAGCGCGUUUAACUCAGUUACGUUUGUCAUUUUUUAGAUCUGUUAAUUGCCGCGUUAAUUCGUUCUUAGAUCUCUAUGGCAUUUGUUUCUUCUUUGUUUGCUGUAUUAAUCAUCGUUCCUUUUUGUGCAUUUUUUGUAUUAAAUUUGUUGUUUCGAAUUCAGUAUUGCUGGAUUUGGUGAGUUGUUGAACUCGGACCCGGUAUUUGUAGAAUUGAGUUAACAAAACGUGGUUAUAGAAUGCUGCAACCAAAUUGAACGGUGGUUCUCAGUUGCGGAUGUGUGGAUCUUCGUUCUCUUGCUCAUUGAGAUUCAGAUCUUGUGUAGCAUUUUGUGCCAUGAAUGAAUGUUUUGAUUUUCCAUUAAGGAUCUGUGUUUUCUCGAAGAUGUUUGUCGUGCUAGUUUGAUAUUUAGCAUUAUAGAUCUGUAUUAAUUAUGUCUUCCUUUAGAUGUUACUGCUGUUUCUUGUUGAUAAUUAAUGUUCUACAGAAUCAUUAGAGCGAUGUUUUUCCUGUCGGUAUGUAUCGUUUUUUUCAGAUUGUUUAUCUGUAAUCACUCUUGUUCUAUAAACAGAAGACAUUGAAAAAAUUGGAUUGCUGAAUAACUUGUUUCCCAGCAUGGUAUUAAACUAAUAAUCUGUUGUUGUCUGCUAAUAUUCGACAUUUAUGGCUCCCAUGCAUCUGACCGAUUCAACUAUAUGAAGUCGCUAUCCUUUUUCAGUAAUUCAAUAAAUAAUUAAAACUAAUAUAACAUUUUAAUUGUGUUUCAGAUACAUUAUGGAUACCUUCCUAUUCACCUCAGAAUCUGUCAACGAAGGUCACCCCGACAAGCUCUGCGACCAAGUCUCCGACGCCAUUCUCGAUGCUUGCCUCGAACAGGACCCAGAGAGCAAAGUAGCAUGUGAAACAUGCACAAAGACGAACAUGGUCAUGGUCUUCGGUGAAAUCACAACCAAGGCCAUAGUCAACUACGAGAAGAUCGUACGCGACACAUGCAGAGGAAUUGGCUUCAUCUCUGCAGAUGUCGGCCUUGAUGCUGACAACUGCAAAGUCCUGGUCAACAUCGAGCAACAGAGCCCCGACAUUGCACAGGGAGUCCACGGUCAUCUCACCAAGAAACCCGAAGAUAUCGGAGCUGGUGACCAAGGCCAUAUGUUCGGCUACGCCACCGAUGAAACACCAGAGCUGAUGCCGCUCACUCAUGUGCUUGCCACCAAGCUUGGUGCCAAGCUGACCGAAGUGAGGAAGAACAACACCUGCCCUUGGCUGAGACCAGACGGAAAAACACAAGUCACUGUCGAGUACAAGAAUGACAAUGGUGCAAUGGUCCCGAUUAGGGUUCACACUGUCUUGAUCUCUACCCAGCAUGACGAAACUGUGACAAACGAGAAGAUCGCCAUCGACUUGAAAGAGCAUGUCAUCAAGCCUAUAAUCCCUGCUCAGUACCUUGAUGACAAAACUAUCUUCCACCUGAACCCAUCUGGCAGAUUUGUGAUUGGUGGCCCACACGGAGAUGCUGGUCUGACGGGUAGGAAGAUCAUUAUCGACACCUAUGGUGGCUGGGGUGCUCAUGGUGGUGGUGCUUUCUCGGGCAAAGAUCCGACCAAGGUUGACAGGAGUGGUGCGUACGUUGUUAGGCAGGCGGCAAAGAGUGUGGUGGCUGCCGGACUUGCACGUAGGUGCAUUGUGCAGGUUUCGUAUGCUAUUGGUGUCGCAGAGCCACUUUCUGUUUUUGUUGAUACUUACAAGACGGGUACAAUUCCCGACAAGGAUAUUCUUGCUCUUAUCAAGGAGAGCUUUGACUUUAGGCCAGGAAUGAUUGCCAUUAACCUUGACUUGAAGAGAGGUGGUAAGUUGAGGUACCAGAAGACUGCUGCUUACGGUCACUUUGGCCGUGAAGACCCGGAUUUCACCUGGGAGACUGUUAAGGUUCUCAAGCCUAAAGCUUGAGUUUGUCGUCAUACACUGUGAUUCUUACCAGGACUUCCAUCAUAGCGCCGGAUUGCUGCUGUUUUGUUUCUGUUGCUAUUGAGGAAUAUAGAGGGAGAGCCUGGAGUAUUUGUUUAAUAUUUCUCUUUAUCUUUUUGUUUUUCGUUUCCUUAUGUUUUUGUGUUAGUAAAGUUGUAUUCAAGUUCAGUACGAUUGUCGUCUGGGGGGUCGCUUUCGAUUACUCCUAAGUUAGUUUGAUGAUUUCUGAAAUUUAAGAAACCAUUUCCACUCGAUGUUGAUUUAUUAUGAUCACAAGUUUUGAGAUUUUAUUUACGUUGCUUUUCUAGUCUAUGCUCGAGUUAUUUAUAUGUGUUUUGCGGUACGUAUUUUGCUUUAUGAUCAACAGCUUACAUUAUUAGCAUGAAAUUUGAGAACAGAGAGACUGAAUCCACCUGAGAAUUCAGAUAUGCACUCACAAUUGACAUAAAUUUGAAAUAAAUUGUCACCAAGGUAAGCUCUAGAAAAUUGAAGUGUACGUAAAUGAUUCGACUUUCAAGAGUGAAGCCAGAGGCGGUCGUGCAGACGGUCUUCUCCGGCACCAAACAUCUCGUCAACCCUUUCACCAUCUCUGUAGAAGUGAAAAGUGGGCGUAUAUCGAAUGUGUUGAGUCGUUUCCGGACAUUCAUCAAUAUCAGCAUACACAAAAGAAAGCUUCGGAAACUUGCUGCUUAAUCGACUGAAAGAGGGAAGAAUCUGACUGCACACACGACACCUAAUAACCAUAAUUAAACAAAUCAAAUCUCAGAUUAUCAUACAUGAAAUAAUGAAUGAUUAUAUACCAAUAUAAUGAAAUCGUUUGAUUUUUUGUGAUAAUUUUUUCUCUUGAGCAUUUCAUCGAACACCUUGCUUACAUUAUUGACAAAUACAGAGGAUUUUAUUUUAAAACUAAAUAGAUGAAGAAACGGAAUUGAAUACAUACCAAGAUGCACCGUAGUUGAUAACUGUCUGCAAAAUAGCCCAGAGCAGAAAUCAAUUCGACAUAAACACAAUCUCAAUGCAAUAAAGAGUGGGAAAAAAAAAAAAGUGAAGGGGAAUUUGGCUUACAGGAUUUUUGGAAGUUCUGAUUUGGUGAAAAAUUUCCUUGAGAUUGUCAUCACCGGCGGCAGUGAUGACGUCAGCUUUAGAAGUUUUGAGAGAGAGUGGAGCUGUGUUGUAGCUGCUCUCUUCUGUGACUUUCUCAGCUCCGUCGGCCAUUUCCGUCUUUGCCCUCCUCUCUUUUUUCUCCAAUAUUUUAGGUUUAAAAAAAAUGAAGAAAUAAAACGUCAAAAUAAUGAAAUAUCCAAUAUUGUACUUUGUUCAAAGUGCUGAUUUUUUCACAAAAUUAACCCACAAUCAUUACUUCCAAAUCCGCCUAAGUCGAGCUUGUCCUAUGUGGUUAACCUAAUGUAGUUUACGUCUCUCGUAUAAUUUGCAAUCUAUUAUACGAGAGUGUAAGUUAGUCCAGUGUACAUAUACGGUUGGUUGUGAAUUCAUUCGUUACCAGAAAAAAAAAUAAAAAAAAAUAACCCACUGCAGCAGUGAUCGAUUUAAAUUGAAAUUGAAAAUAAAUGAUUUAUUUAUAAGCUAAAAAUGCUUCAUUUGAAUUGAAAAAUACAAAUGGACAAUGUUGAGUUCGAAUCUCUCUCAUAGAACAACCUUUAAUAAAAUUAUACAAAAUAAAAAUAAAGUCAAAAGGUUGAGUUUACAUAAGAACCCACUACAAUGUCUAUAAGAAGAAAAACAGAAUAUCGAGCGCAGAUAAAGAGUUCCGAUACAAUAUAUUUGGUUGAUAUCAUCAACUUUUUCGUUACGUCAACGAAUGGAAGGGGUUAAAUGUUGGACGGAACCAAAUAUGAGGGUUUUGUUUGUAAUUUCCCAUAUCCAAUAAAAUGGAUUUAGGCCAAACCACAAGGGAGCCUAGUGCAAUUUACCCAAACAUUUAGUGGUCAUUCAGUUUCAGACAAUGCCUCUGGAUGAAACUUCUUGCAUAGUGCUUCUGCAGCAGCUCCUAUUCUUGCUUUGUCCUGUAAACAACAAAUUCUGCAAAGUCAACCACACUUCUCUUCCCCCCAAAAAAAAAAGAAAGAAACGAAUUUCUAAAAAAACGAACAUCCUUAUUUCUUACAUUUCCCUCGAAGGUAAUGAUAAUCGAACCUCCUCUUGAUUUGCGAUAAGUCCCUUCACAUACCAAGGAAAUGGGGAAGAAAUAAACUAUUAACAUGGGCUAGAGGAGAGGAUGUAGUCAUUCAUAUACACACAAAAAGUCAAUUUAUGGUCAAUAAAAAUCUUACCAAUGUAGAGAUCGGGAAAUUGUCGACAAAUUUCUGAAAGAGGUUGAGCAAUUUCCACCUGCAAGUAAUCAAUAACAGAUGGUUUUCGAAAGUCGAAAAGAUAAAUAAAACAGAUACGGAUAAUAGAUUCAGGGACUUACAUCGGGAAGAGUUGUUGCCAGUUUCUUCGAGAUUAAUGGUUCAGUUGUCAAUAAAACCCCAUUUGAUCUCAUCAAGUCAAUAAAGCAAUCCCACUCAUUUUCCAGCUCAGCAACACUAGCUGCCGUAAGAAUUAUCACAUUUUUGCACUUGAUCUACGACACACAGUUGAGUAUUAAAUAUUAAGAUUCCAGUGAUUUUCGAAUGAUUUUUUUUUAUUAUUAUUAUUAUAAUUAUCGUCAACAGUGAUGUAACUUACGAGAGGCACACUCAGUUUCUCAUGGUGCACCAACUCCGUAAUGCCUUCAGGCAACUGAGCCAUCUGGAAGGGGAAAAUAGAUUAUAUAAAUAAAAUAACUGGUAAAAAAGAGAUAUAUAUCUCAUCAUAACAUGUAUUAUAUUUAACAAUUUUAAAUGAGUCGAUUUCCUAUAAAUUUAUCAAGAAGCAUCUUUUUUACAAUGAAAAUAUGGCAUGUCAUUACCUCAUUCCUAUCUCCGGUGCACCUUUCGCCUAUGAGGUGCCUCAAAUAUUCUUCAAAUUCUUCAUCCGGGGCCUUCAAGAAAAUAAAUUGUACUAAAAUAAAUUAAAUGCAAUAACAAUGAAACGAAAAGCUAGGUGAAAGAAUUUACAAGAGCAGAAAAAGGGACGACGAAACUGCAUCCUAGUCUAGCAAGAAUAUUAGAUCAGUAAGUUAAUUAGAUUCCCUGAAAAUUAUAGAAUCAAAUAGUAUUGUUCCUGAAGUAGUCGACCUAAUAAUUCACACGUAAAAGUUAAAACUGACAGAAGUUAAUGGUGAUAGGCAAGAAGUACCAUUCGGACACCAAAUGCUUUAGAAACACCAGCUACAGUUACGUCUGAAGGCAAUGGACCAACCCCUCCAUAUAUGAAAACCUGCAGUUAAGUUACAAUUUACAAUGUUUAACUAAAACUUGAAGAUAUCACACACACACACACACACACACACACACACACACACUCUCUCUCUCUCUCUCUAGAUAUUUUACCAUAUCAUUAGUAGACUUUCUUCGCUCAACUUCAUCUGCAAUAGAAUCAAUCUGGAAAGAUGACAUUAACGAAGUUAUAUGUACAACCAUACAGUCAACAAAAUUUUUGAAAAUUAAUCUACGUGCACAUCAAAAUUAAGGUAAGAAAAAAAAAAUCACAAAAACUUACAUCAUUUCUAGCAACAGCAAUAUGUGAAACGGACCAGCUUAUCGAAUGGAGUUUUCUGCAUAAUACGAAUCCUAUCUGAUCCUCAAUAGUGCCAGACCUGAGCUAUGGUACCAACAGAAAAUUCUCAAUUAGAAAAUGACUCAAAUGCAAAUACGGAUGCAAUCAUUGUUAACAUACUUUUUAUUAUUACUAUUAAACAAAAAAAAAAUCAGUAACAAAAAACUUACAGAAUUUCAUCUCCCACAGCAAUAACCGAGGCUGUAAACAUACUUUUCGAAUGUGAAUAAUCGUGAUUCAAACCAUUGCUAACAGCAGAUAAUGGCUGAGAAGUUAACUUCUUAACUCUCCCUGCUCUUUCAAGUCUUCCAUCUGAAAGCAUAUAUGCAGGUUUGUAUUUUUCUUCGCUAUCGCACAACAGUGCAUUGGGAACUGUGUCGUGAAUGCUACCAAUUGAAGUGUAACUGCAGAAAACUCGAUAGGAUUACACCACUAAAAUAAUAUCAAUACCAAACAACAACAACAAAAAAAAUCUAUUUGAGAUAAACCUUACCCAAAACAUUAAGGAAAUAUAUAGAAGAAAACUCAAAAUAUUCUAUCUUAAAUAAAUCUACAAGAAUUUACCCUUGAUCGUAAAGACUGCAGUACUGAACCUUGCAAGUUAGGAGAAAGGCCCAAAUAUCUCUGCCAUGUAAACAGUGAAACGUAAGACAAUUUGCAUUCGUGCAAAAAUACAAAAACGAUUCUUUGAAAAUGCCAAAAAAUACAAAAAAGUAACCAACACGUAUAUUUCUCUUCUCAUUCAAGAUUGGAUACCAGAAAAAGGUAGGGCGUAAAUAAUUUAGGACAAAAGGGUGACUUGUGAUGUUAGAGAUUGACCUGUAUGACCAAUCCAAAAUGGGAUUCACUCUCAUGAAAGGCGGCCACCCGGGCGAGCUAGGUGAGAACUGCUCUUGCCCUACCUAAAAGAAUAUUACCAAUUUUCUCUUAAUCUCAUUCUUAAAUUAUGUAUAUAAUUGCAUUAAAACAUAAUGAGUAAUAAAUUGCAUACAUACAGCAGUAGGAUCUCCAAUUCGGACACCAAGAAAAAUAGCUCUAAUAGGAUUAGCUUUUAAAAGAGUUUCCAAGCCAGACUUGAAAUCUAAGCGACUGAUGUCCAUCCACAAUUUGUAACUGCCAUAUUGGAAUUAAUAUAUCAAUAUAAUUCUCAUGCAUAAAAAAAAGAGAUGUGGGGGGGGGGGGGGGGGGGGGGGGGAGGGUAGGAAAAAAAUCACAUACAUAGAAGCUGUUUCGUAAGUGAAUGAGUUGAUUUCAUGGAAAGUCGAUUUGGUCUCAAAAUAAAUUGUCCGUAUCGGAAAUGUUAAUUCAGCAUCUUCAGUGGACAGAUUCUUUCCAGACUUGUGCAAAUGAUAGCCUGCCCUAAGAAGGUGCAAUAAAACCUACAAUAUAGAAUUGUAUGUCGUUAUAUUUGUUUCUUAAAUUAAUAAUGAAGAUUUCGUGAAAAUGACAUGGGAGAAAAGGGUGCGUCUGCGUAAAACAACUUACAGUUGAAUCUUUUCCACCAUUAAAGCUGAAAGCGACCUCUUCAACACUGUCAACAAAAUCAUCAAGUAUUUAAUCUAGUUUUCACCAUUGCAGUUAAACGACAAACUAUCGGGGAAAUUAAAUAUGCAGGUGCCACUUGGCAUCACAGAUGAACAGCUCAUAACGAACCGAGUAAUUAUUGAAUGUCUUUUAUUUCCUAAAGUGCAAGUCAAAGAUACUACUCACUCCACUCGUCAAGUUUCGAAAUGCUUAUAUUUCCAAACUCUAUCAAAAAAAAAAUCAUCUUCAUAAAUGCUUGAAGACAUCCCAUCUUAUCCAAUAACGACCUUUUCUUGUCAACAAUUUACUAAGAUAAAUCGUCAUCUAAAAACAAUUGCUUCUUUAACAUUAUAAAAUUAGGAAAUGUGAUGGAAAAAACCAAACUGCAACCGACGUAUUUAUAUAAUCUCACUGAUUCUCAGAACCCAAAUCAACGGCACACGAACAAUCCUAUGACCACUACCGUAACAACUAAUAAUGGCUAAACCCUAAGUGCUUCUAAAACAAAGCUAUACAACAAAAUUUCAACGAUGAGGAUAUAAGAGUAAGCGAGGCGUACGAGUAAAGAGCUAGAGCCCUUUGGAUGACGUAGAUGGCAUUGUUGUACUUUGUCUUCAACCUUAUAUCAUCACAUUCUCUUAUCGCUUUAUCGAUCUCCAUUUUUUUGGCUUAUAUCAAUAUCAAUCUUCCUGAAUGUGAAUCAAAACAAUAACAAGAAUAACAACGAUCAAUCACCAGAUAUUUAAACUCGAAAAGCUGGCCAAAGCGUGUCAUAACAGAAGUCUGAAAUUUUCAAUUAAAGGAGUAUUCAUUCAAAUUCAAGCAAAUCAAAAUUACCAGACCAAACAUAAGAUAGAUGCGAAUUCCUGCGAUUACUUGCAAAAUCACAUUUCCAACAACAAAAAUUCACUUGCCUUUAAUGUAGAAAAAAAAAAUUAACAAAAAACGCACAGACAACGAACUCAACAAUUACCAUGUGCAAUUAAUUAACAAAAAAAAAAAAAAAAGUCACCAUUGAUGGGUUUAAUACUUUAAUUUAACAAUGGAAUUUCCACCUUGUGCUGAAACGAGAAUUAAAUGAAGAACACGGGUAACGAUAAACGAGAGAAGAUUCAACUUCUGAUACGAAAGAGGAAAUUUGGUUCUGAUGUGAUUCAGGGAUGGAAUAUUACCUCGUCUGAAGACUCUUCUGAGAAGUAAGAAAGUUUACAGAUGUAUAUAAAGAAAAACCCCUUUUUCAAUGUAGACUGCUUUUUUAUGAAUUUCUCUUUCCUUGGAAAAUAUUUGGGUGCUCGAAUAAAUUAAUAUUUAUGAAGGAAUUCUUUUUAAUUUUUAAUGUUUAAAUAAAUCAAAUUUAGAGAAUCGAAAAUAUUAAAAAUAAAUUUAGUGUUAUUAAAUUAGUUAUUUCAAUUUCAAGUUUUUAUUUGGAAGCAUCCAAACAUGGCAUAAGAAAAUAAUAAUACAUAAACAAGCGAAGAUGUUAUUAGUUCAUGAUUUUGUUUGGAAGUAAUUCUUAGGUUUUUAUUAUUAUCUUACAUUUCGAGAGAAAAAAAAUGUAAUUAUUUACGUUUCGAAUUGCUUUUUACCUCUUGAAUUAUUACAAAUAAGUAAAUUAUGGCGUUUAAGAUAUAUUAAACGAGUCUUACAAGAAAUGAUCUAACGGUUAUAGCAAGUUAGUAUCAAUUAACAUAAAUUUGAAUUUCUUUGUCAACGGUCGCUAGAUCGAGCUUGUUAUAAACAAUGAUCAACCUAGUAUUAUUAUGAUCAACCUAGUAUUGUUGACGUAUGAAUAUACAAUUUUCAAUAUACCAAUUUAAAGUAAGUCUGAAGGAAAAAGGAGUAGUUUAUUGACUUCUCCCACAGGAAAAGCCAAACAAGAAAAUUCUUGGGAGAAACAAGAGAACAAAUUAAAGUAGCUCACCACAUUAUGGUGAGUUGACCUUUGACCUAUAUGACAAAGUCAACAAUUAAAAUCUUAGGACUUGGAAAACUUAAUGCAACACCACUCUGAAAUUAGCCUCAGAAUGAUAACAAAGUUCAUACAUAUACAAUUUUGAGAUGAGAUUUUUAAGAUAUGAUUAGCGAAUCGACACUGGCUUCGAUACUGUAAUAAUACACGUAAAAAAAAUUACAAACACAACACAAAAAUUACAAUCCCCGUUUUGCAUCGCAGCUCGACAUCAGGGUUUGUUGUCUAGUCUUUACAAAAUUUCUUCCCACACUUCAGCCAAAAACUCAACCAUCAUCUGUGUGUAUGGAGAAAAAAGUUUCGAUGAUGCAAUUUAGGAAGUAAAUAUCGGGGAAAUUUAUUCACAGAAACUUACAGCUAAAGGAACCGGUUCUUCAAAAGGCUCUUUCGAUGAAAGUAAAUCCUUGCAAGAGGUACUAUAUCUGCAAGAAAAUAAUUAUAAAUACGAGAUCUCCCAAAUAUGUAUUAACAGAAAACGUGUUGAGUAAUUUGAAAUUGAUACGAGGAAGAAAAGGAAAUGCCUCGUAAUUGGCUCGGUGGGCUUUCUUUGAGAUGCAACAGAUCGAUUGCCUCUCCAAGCUCUUCUCAUUUCAUGCCAGGCUACUGCUGCUGCAAAUUUGGCCAACAAAUAACUAUUUAAAAAAUUUAAGACAGAAUGCUAAAAAUAGAAAGAAAAAAAAAAAAGUAACCACCGACUUUAAGGUAUAAAGAAUGAACCCAUUGUUUAGUAUUGAAAUUUCCCACUAUUUUUGUCCAAUCAAGUACAGCACAAACAAUAAAACACACCCUAAUAAGUGAUUAACAUAGAAAAGGCAAAAUACGAAGUUAUUGUGAUAGUCGGCUAAACGUAUAUAUACAGAUAUCGCACCAUCUUGACAAACAUGAAGUUUUUAGAGAAAAAAAGGUUGCAAAGGAACCAACCAUAGUUGACGAAAAGAGUAUUGUAAUCAUCUUGAAGAGAAGGCAUCUUUUCUAAUGAGUCGUAACUGAUUCCAUCAACAUCCAUCCCCCUUGCACUGGCUUUCAAGACUGUACUGAACAGUCACCGAUUAAAACUGAAAACAGGAUCCACAACUAAGACGAUAUUCAAGCGUAUUUACUAUCACAAGAAACAAGUAAAAUCAUAAACAUUAAAGAGCAACAUGAGAGACUAAAAAUAUGUUUGCAUUAUUAAAAUAAACGAUACAACUAGUUUGCAUUAAAAAUGUGUCGAGCUUUUGCUGACCAUAAAGAACGAUUAGAAGCAUGUUAACCAACAACAAUGUUGAAUUGUUGAUAAGUAAUUCAAGAGACGAACAUAGUUAUCCAAAAUAUGCAGGAAUGUGCGAACGCGAAAAUGUUAACCAAAAAUUAUAGCAUUCCGAGCCUUGAUUGAUUGUUUUACCCAUAUUACUUGUUCCUAGUAUAUUACACGAGAUAAUGUUCGUAGUCGAAAUUUAUUAAUGGACUGUGCUUUAUCGGAAUCCCUCAUAAACAAUAGCAGUGAGUUUCUACAACAAAAAGACCACCAGUAUAGCUUCUGCAAUCAAUUAACCCAAAUCCCCAAAUUAAUCAUAAAUCAUGAAAAUAAUAACAAUGUCAACUAACGAAAUUCAGAAGUUAGAUUUCAUUCCAGUUCAUCACCAUUGAAGCCUACCAGCUCCAAAUAUAACUAGACUGUACUAUUGGGACUAGAAUUGGCAAAUUAAUCCAGAAUAACAUUAUUAAAAAAAAAAAAAAUUAAGUUCAAUUACAGAAGAAAAUAAGUUUGGUCGAUAGUAUCAGCUACAGUUUGAACAUGGAACCGUACGAACCUUGCAUUCGACUAUCAAUGGCGAUUCUGGAAAUUCGGAAAGUAGAGUUGGAUGUGGGUUAAUUUUAGGCUGAUAUGUUUGCCAGUGGCGGAGCAAAUAAUUUGGGGGAGAAUUUUUGAGUAAUUGGGGGAGAAUUUAUUCGUGAGUAUAAACACUAUUUAUUUUCAUAAAAUAUUUGUAAUUGUGAAUAUAUAAUGAGCCUAAAGCUAAAAAAAUUGAGCCCGUAUUUGUGUAACCCCUAUUUCAAAUAUGGGCCCAAUUUAGGAAGUUUAAUUUGUUUGUGGCCUUCGGGCCUCAAUUAAACUAAUCCCUAAUCAUCAUUAGAAACUGAAUUAAUUAUUAAUCACUUUAAAUAUUCCCCCUAUAUUUUAGAGAUUUAGCUUUAAUUAACUAUAAAAUAUGUUAUAAAUAUUUAAUUUCUACAAGUAAUCGCAAUUCCGACCUUAGCUCAGUUGGUAGAGCGGAGGACUGUAGUGGGUGCUGCCCGAUUGUUAUCCUUAGGUCGCUGGUUCGAAUCCGGCAGGUCGGAAUCUUUUCUUUUAAUUUAUUUUUUGCAUAUAAGUAGUUUUUAUUUACUUUAAAAUUCAUAAAUUGCCCCAAUUAUUUUUUUACAUGUCGGCCCAAAACCAAAAAAUGGUCUAUCAUUAAUUUAAUAAUUUAUGGAGUAAUUUAUACAGGGUCAAAUAUUAAUUAAACAUUAACACGUCUCAUAAUAAAAUAAAAAAUAAAGGAGAGUAUUAACAAGGCCCAAUUCUCAUCCAAGUUCAUUCUCGGGCUAUCUUCAAUUAAUCCAAAGUCAAGCAUUGACCAACAAUUAAAUAAAGCCCAAUUUCUCAGCCUAAUCUAUUUCUAUUAUUUAUACAUGAAAACGAGAGUAAAGUGAAAUUGACAAAAUCCGGAGCAAUCCAGCAAAGGAGAUACAGAGAUGGCUGGUCGGAGCAUCACAUACAUCACCGGCUCUCAGCUUCUCUCUCUCAAAUCCCGCCCUAAUAUUGCCAUCGUCGACGUCAGGUGUAUUAAUCACGCUUUCUUCUUCGUUUAACAUUUGACGAGAGGUUUUAUUAUUUUAUACUGUAAAAUAUUUGACGAGAAUUUGACGUUUUUUUGUUUUUGUUUGGGUAGGGAUGAUGAACGGAGCUCCGAUGGACACAUAGCCGGAUCUCUCCACGUUUCUAGCGAUAAUUUCGUUGACAAAUUGCCCAGCCUGGUUGAAGCUACCAAAGGCAAGGAUACUCUCGUUUUCCACUGCGCUCUCAGCCAGGUUUUUUUUUUUUUUUUUUUUUUUUUUUCUUUUUCCUUCUCCUUUUUACCAUUAUUAUUACUAAAAUAAUACUUGUACUCAUUUAUUCAAACUCGCAGCUUGUAAUUUAUAAUUGUUGAUUUGAGUUUUUACUUGAUUAUUUUGGUGUCUCAGCAAUUAUUUCCCCCUUUUAAAUUUGUCACAGUUGUAGGCCUGUAAUUGUGGUCAAAAUUGAAUAGGAUCUGUUGUUCUAAGUUAGGUUAAAUCAUAUGUCUAGCUGCUGGAAGAACUGGAAAUUGCCGCCCCACACAGUCAUUCUCAGUUGCCUAUUUUAGGUUAUAGAACUUGAAAUUUUGUUUGGGAUCUAAUUUUCCUUAAUAAUCUCAGACUUUUUAGUAAGAAGCAAUCCAUUUCCAAGACAGAUGUUCGUCUCUUAUCUAGUCGUGUGUGUUGUUUCCGUAGACCAUAAUUGAAUUAACAUAUCCUUAUGUUGCUUAUCCAACAUUCUAGAAUUUUUUUUUCACCUCUUAGCAACUUUGAAUCCGUAUAUUAUCUCUUUGUAAAACCAAUUAAUUUUAUCGUUAUCUAAAUACGAUGAUGCGUAUAUAUUGAGUAUUCAUUAUCAUUCCUCAGCCCACAAGCUUUAUUGCUCUUCUCGGUACAUUAAUAAGCUAGAUCGUAGGUUGGAAUUUCGUCAAAGAAGGUGAGUCAACCGAGCGAAACUAAAGUAUUAUCUUACUUGGUUGGAUCAUUCAAUGACCCAAACAAAUUACGCUUACUAAUAUUUGACGAAGCUGAAUCAUGAAAGAAUUGCUCAUUAAUCAUUUUUUUCUGGUUGCAUGCCAUUUAGUCUAGGUUAUUUUUCUCUCAAUAAGUGUAGUUGCCACGAAUUACGACAUUGUUAUUGUUUAUUUUAGAACUGGGAACGAAAUGCAUGCAAAUUGUAAUGGAAUGUUAGAAUUAGGUUUGGAAGAGGUUACAUGAACUGAUCAUACUACUUAUUACAAGCACCAAAACAUGACAUUCGACUAAGUUAGCGUACGACAAGCCUGAAAGACGGGUUACAGUGCUUAGAAUUAUGACCAUAUAUCUUCUUAGAAUUAGAAGGGAAGAAAAUAUCAAACAUAUAGAAUUAUGAACAUAUAUCUACCUUGUUUCUGUCUGCAAAGAGAGAAUUGACUGGCAAAUGAUACUAUCACAGGUUCGUGGACCCAAAUGUGCUCGAAAGUUUGCCGAUUAUCUUGCUGAUGCGGAUAUUGGGGAUGUGAAGAAUAUAAUGGUCUUGGAACGAGGCUACAAUGGCUGGGAAUCUUCCGGAAGGCCUGUUUGCCGCUGCAAAGAGGUGCCCUGCAAGGCUGACCAUAGCUGAUGAAUGUACCACUGCAAGAAAGCAAAUGCUGCUAAUAUAUAAUAUUUUGUUUGAAUAAUGAAUGAUGUAUACUCCAUUUAUGGAAGAUUUGUAUUCUUCUGUGAGGAACACGAAACGAUCAUUACUUACACACACGUAUUUCUCGUAACUUGGUGUGCUUCUUGUUCUAUGUAACCGUGUGGAACUUGGUUCUUAAUGAACCCCAAAGUUUGUCGAUUUGUUAAAUUUGUGAACAAUCCUUUUGUUAGGCUUGAACAGGGUCAGUUCAGACAGCAAGCCGUGCGCAUGCGGCUGCAUAGGGGCCCCUAACUAAAGGGGGCCCAAUUCAUUCCUUCUGCACUCCUAUAUAUAAUAUGUAUUGUCCAUGUUUCAUAAUUAACCAUGGUAAAACAAGUGAACUCACCCAUUUCAUCUAUUUUAAUUUUUUUUUUUAGUUUUUAUAAUUUAAAAAAAAAACAUAGAAAAACAGAAAAAAGGAAACAAAAAUGCAAUCAGUCAACUAAACUACAAAUUUAAGAAAAUUUACUAUAAUUUGGGGUAAAACCAAGAUGCGAAUUACUCCUCCACAUUCCCUUGUAUGGGCUUCGCGCAAUCAAAACCAAUUUCCACCUCAAGAUUUCGUAUGAAUUCACGGGAUUACAAACUAGGAUUUACGGAUUGAGAGACAAAUAUGAUGGGAAAUUUGGGAUGACGUUUGUUAGAGCUCACGGGAUUGAGAAAAUUAUGAAAGUUUUCAGAAUCUAAGUUUGCUAGGGUUUACGGGAUUGAGAGUGAAAUAAAAAUUGGAAAUUUGGGUUAGUUAUGAAGAGGGAAGAAUGUGAGAUGGAUUGUGGUAUGGUCCAAUUUGACAUCUAAUAGCCAAAUGGACGUCACAUGCGACACACAUGAAAAUUCCGUCCUACUUAACCUGGAGACUUUGAGGAUCGAUAAAAAAAAAAGACAAAAAAUAGUUUAUUUGGGGACCAAUUUCAUGAAUUCGAUAGUUUGGGGACCAAAAUAGUCUUAAUAGUAAAGUAUAGGGGCAAAAAUAUAAUUAUCCCACCGUAACUCCGCAAGUAACAUACAUCCGAACGGAAAUUACCAAGCCUUGUUGAAAAGGAUCCACUUAAGACUCGCUCCCGAGUUAACAACACGCAUCAUUCGUCUUCCCCCAAUCCAAUCUGACCUUGCAAAAGCGAAAAUGGUAGUUCAUGAUUUUGCAGGCAUCUCCUUCGAUCUAAUCCUUAUAAUUUGUUGCUUGCUUUAAUUUAUUUCUGUAAUUCGCAGGUUUGCUUGGCUUGUUUGUUGCCGCUGUUUCUCGUCCCAAUCGUCAAUUUGUUGCCCGUCCUCUUCGAUAUCAUCAUGGUUUGUAGAAAUUCUCAUCGAUCAUCGUUUCUGCGUGAUGUGUUUAUAUAUUUGUAAUUAGGUUUUCGAGGAUUCGUAAUCUUCUAUUGAUUGAUUUUCUUAGAUUAAAAAUUAAAAUAAAAAUAUAUAUUUAGGGGAAGGUGUACAGAUUGUUUGGAUGGGAAUAUCGGAAGCCGGUGCGAGCACCUCCCGCUUGUCCUAUGAAACCAUCCGCCUCCAAAACCGGCACCGCCGAUUCAGUAAGUCAACUAUUUUUUACCUGCAGAUUUUUGAAUUAUUUUUGUUAGGGUUAGAUAUGUAUUUAGAUUUAGGGAAUGGAAUCGGAAAAUUGUCGAGAGAUAUUUCACGGUCUCGAAUCGAGAUAGUCUAUAUGCUUAAUGUAUUUACAUUUUCCAAAACAAUAAUGUGUUUCUGCGAAGCAGAAAGUUUCGAAUUGGCUUAUCAAAACAUUGGUAGUGUCUGCUGUUUCUUAAGAAUGAUGCACAUAAAUCAAACACACAAUUUAGGCGGUGCUUGAAUUCGUAAUAGAUUAGUCGAAACGUUUGUUGUUCUGUUUUAAGUUUUAACAAAUGAAUAAAUGCACGCAGUUUCUGAUUUUGUUUCUUUAAUACAACUCCGUAACCAAAUUUGUCAGAAUUCUUUAGAGCUAAAAGCAUAUAGGUAAUAUUGGCAUCACCAUAACUUUAGAUGCACGCUCGUGCAUUCCAUUUUUUCAUGUUCAUUGCACUUUUAAUUCUCAUCUUUUGGGCUUUGAAAUCUUCUUUACUUGAAGGUGAUUACAUCAAUUAACCCCUUCAGUAUAGAUGCCAAAACACAUGAUUAAAUUUAGAUUAAGUCGAAUUCUUCAGUUUCACCUAAUCUUGGAAAAUGUUUAUUAAAUUCGGAAAAUCGGUGUAUCAAAAAGGUUGCAGGUAUACAGAACCAUGGUGCCCCAGAUCCAUCACUAAAGUCGGUUGGAGAAGAUGACGAUAAGCUAGACUAAACUGCACCAAAUUUGGUAUAGUCAUUUUCAUUUAAUCUCUGUUUAAAACUGGUAAAACUGAAAAUAAUAGAUUCUGGUGAGGGUAAAGGUAU
rnacentral:lncRNA from 1 species